CACAAUAAAAUCACAAAUAUUCAUUACUCACAAAUAAUAUUUAUUUAUGUUGUUCAACCUUUACAAACAUUGCUUGUGAAACUAACAAGCAUUAGCUUUAUAAUGACAUAGCACACAUUUAUUCGUGCAUCCAUUUUAGAAGACACCAUAUAUAGCAACUUCAAACACGCUAAAUACUUAGAAGAUAUGUCUCUCUCUCUCUCUCUCUCUCUCUCUCUCUCUCUCUCUCUCUCUCUCUCUCUCUCUCUAUAUAUAUAUAUAUAUAUAUAGAUGGUUCAAGCAUUUUUGAUGUGAUGAGAUUCAAUGUCUUCAACCAUGUGAAGGAAAAAGUUGAGCAAGGUUCCUGGAUGUGGGGUAUCUUCCUUCAGCUUCUCAUAGUCGAGAGUCCAUGUAAUCAAACUUUCUUUGUCACCAAGAACAUCAACAUGGUAUAUGAUAGUGAAGGUCUUGUACAGCUCCAUGAGAUCUCCUUCAAUCAUCUUAAAUACGAUUGAUUUCUUUUCUUCAUUUAUGUCCUGAAUAAUCUCCUUUGCCACCCUAUCUUUCCCGUCUGUAAAAAUGAAAAUUAAAUCGAUUACAGACUCUCCAAUUCCUAGUCAACAUGCUGGUAAUCCAAAAACAAGGUUUGCGGAAUUCUUUCUUUUUGUUUUUUUGCGCAAAAAAGUAUGUUUUGAUUAGGAUAGACUAUACCAUUUACACAACCAGGGAAGUAUUCUCGUUGUGAAACACCAGGUAUAUAGCAAAAGAAAAAAAAUCAGUAGUAUUUAUUAAUUGAAUUCUUUACGAAGAUGGACUUCCUUAAUUAACCUUUGUUGUUUCCACAAUCAGAUUAUUGUCUUUGUAUAAAUACUAAUGAUAAUAUUAAUAAUAAGGUUAACGUAAUAGAUCUAGUCCGUUUUUCAUUAAAACUUUUCCCGAGGCAGAUAUUAAGCUUUUAUCCUUUCUUUUUCUGGCAAAUAAGUUAGAUAACUAGUUGUAUGCCAGUUCAAAGCAGGUAAAAACAGAUGGAGAGAGUUUAAAUCAACUUAGUCCAGAAGCUGACUAACAUGCAACAAAAGCUAAAUGAAUAAAGGAAAAACAAGAAAAACUGCGAGAGAAGAAAGAGCCAAAAUAAGGAACUUGAAUAUUGAUUUCAUACCAUGGGUAUAAUGCCAGCAGAUUUUGGAUCCAACAGUUCCAAGAUCACCACCAAGCAAAGUAAACCCUUGAACUUUCUCAGGAGUUAUGGUGGCAAGAUCAUGUGGUCUUUUGCUUAAGACAUCGUGGAACACAUCUCCUGCAGGGCCAUGGAUGUUAGUUGACCAAUCAUUUUACCUUUGAGCCCCAUUUUUUUUCUGAGAAACUGAGAAGGAAAUGACCAAAUACUGCUGCAGCAAAAAAAUGCAAAGAAAUAUGGUCUACUAGACUAUCCCUUUGCUCCUUAUAUAGUAUAGAACUGAUGGGUGACUUCACCCCCCACCUCCACCCCCACCCUUUCUUUUUUUCAAUUGGGGUCUAUAAACCACGUAAGAGGAACCAAUUAUCUUCGCUAGCAACUAUCUUUUUUUUCCCUAGUUCUGCCAUUGUUACAAAGUUUUUUUUUUUAAUUCAUGAGAUGUUGUAUUGGUAAAUCAGCCCUAAUAAAUGAUACUCAGCAUCUAUUAAAAUGUGAUUAUCCUCAUUGUCUAUUAAUCUAUAAUCAUAUUACAUCUAUAGUUUUGCACUUAGGGUCAACAGACUCGACGCCAUUCAUUUUUUUAAUGCCUACAACUAAGGUUUUCUUGUGGGCAACUUAAAUUUUAUUUUGAUCGAUAUUUCUUAGUCUCAUUUUUGCUUUACGACAAGAACAUUGGAUAAAAUAAGGGCCAUCCUUAACAAAUUAUUUUGGAGAGAUCUACUUCUCGUGUCCAUGGCAAAAAUGACUCUCCAAUAAUGACUCUUAGAAGUUAGUUGACACAAUAAAUGAUAUAAAUUCAUGAGUUUUGGACAGCUGGUAAGUAGACUGUUAAUGUCAAUAAGAGAUCGCAAGUUCGACUCCUGUACGUGACACCUUGAAAAACUCUGGUAAGAUGGUCACCCCCAAAUAAAAGUUGGACUUUAUGGAUGCUCCUUGGACCGAAUCCGGGUUAGACUCACUAAGAGUGGGGAUAUCAGGUGCUCAAAACAAAAUAAAUAAAGGGUAAAAAAUAAAUAAGCCCCCUGUGGUAAACCUAAUAUACAGAAAAACCUCCCAUGGUUUCAAAUUAUAUAACACGACCCCUCUAAAUUGUAAAGAUGACGGAAUCCGUUAAACUUAACGGAAAUAGACAAAAUGACCAAAAUGCCGUGAUAUAAUUAAGCCAAAGACAGCUCAAAAAAAUCAUUUGUUUUAUUCUCUAAAUAGAGAGAAUUGAGGGUUAAGGGGUAGAAUAGGUAUAUUUGAUAAAAAUUAGGUAUAAAUUUUUUUUUAGGUUUCAAUAAGUCAUUUCCGUUAAGUUUAACAGAUUCCGUCACCUUUACAAUUUAGCUCAAAGUAUGAGGUGCCGUAUUGUAUAUUUUGAAACCAUAGGGGGCUUUUCUGUGUAUUAGACUUACCACAGGGGGUUUUUUUGUUUUUUACCCAUAAAUAAAUGAUAUCCUCUUCUUACAUGGUUUUUGGUAGGUGGCAUACUAUUACCAAAUGGGAAAUAAAUGGAUAAGUUAAGGCCUUAUCUGAAUUACAGUUUUCUAAAGAAAAUUUUUGACGUUUUACAUAAACACAUUUAUGAAUCAUAUUUUAAUUUCACAUAUAUCAAAUUGUUGUAGCAUAUUUUUUUUGAGAAAAAAGUUUUGACGGCUCUCCAACUCUUUUUCAAGUUAAGUUUUGGCCCUUCAACAAUUAACAGUAAAGUUUUGGUUCUCGAUCUAAUAAAAGAGUAUAUUUGUGGCCCUUCUGUCAAAUCCAGAUAGUAUAGGGAUGGGCAAAAAAACCUGUUGAACCGAAAAUUCAGCGAACUCGAUGCAAUGCGAUCCGAUUUUUCUUAGCAGGGCAAAUAAGGGUCGGGUACCCGUGAAAAAUGGAUACGGAUACAGAUCAGAAAAAUAAAAACUCGUGGGUACCUGAUCCGCAGGGUAUAUUAUAUAAAUAUUAAAAAAUUAGAAAUCAUUUUAUAAUUUUAUAAUUUUUAAUCCUAAAUGUAAAUGAAGUGCCUCACAGCCUUAUAUUCUAAUAUCAUAUGAUCUGCCUCUCCUCAUAUUGUUUGAACAAAGCAAAUAUUCUCGGUGAAACCUAAAUCAAAUGAACAAAAUGAAGAAAAAUUUGUGAAAAUCUAUCAUAAAAAUUGCUCAUCCCUUUGAUUCUUUUCAUUUUUAGUCUACCUCCAUUGAUCUUUCCUGCAAAUUUUUUAUCAAUUCAAUCAAAGAUUUGUGUUUGGAGUUCUAAUUUUCUAUUAGCUAGAUGAUUAAAACAUUUGUGUCUUUCAUUUAUUUAUUUGAUUUAUUUUAUUGUAAUUAUGUCUCUUAAAUUUGUCUCUUUUAUUUUAGUGCAAGAAAGUUAUUUUUCUUUUUUAUCACCUUUAAUGCCAUAAGGUUUAUUCCAAAGAUGUAAGGAAAUUGGGAAGGAUUUUUCAAACUUGUUACUAAAAAGUGUAAAAUGAUCUCAAUUAAUUAAGCAAUGCAUCACUCAUGAUUUCAAUUUGAAGUUGAAAUUCCAAUGCAUCACUCACUAAGCAAUACAUAGUUGAAAUUUGAAGUUGGCUACAAUGAAUUACUUUCACUCAAUUAUCACACACACACAAAGAGAUAAUCAAGUAUAUGCUGGCUAUUAGAUAAAAAUUAAUUAGUUGGGCUGGCUGCCUUUGAUGACUAUCAAUAGAAGAUACACUAUCAUUGGAUACGCUCCCGCAAGCUGAAGUCAAGUCAGUCACAAUAAAAAAGAAGCCCGUCCCUAAAGUUUUAAUCAAAAUACAUUUCAUCCUUAUAGUUCUAUAGUUUUGAUCAAUUUCAUCCCUAAAAUUUCAUGUGAACAUAUUUUAUCCUCAUAGUUUCAUAAAAUUGACCAAUUGAGGACAAUUGAAUGAUUGUUAACCAAUUUGGACCAAGUAUCAUACAUAACUAGCAUGUCCCAUUGAUAAUUGUAUCAAUACUUAAUUCGAUUAUUGAUUAAAUUAUAUAAAUAACAAUGAGUGUGUUCGGAUAAAAGAUUAUUAUUUUUAAAUAUGUGAUAUAAUAUAUAUGAAAUAAAAAAAUAAAUUAGAUGAUAGACAGACAAUUUGAAAACGUGAAUAUAAUGCGACAAAACAAAAUUUUAGAAACAAAUGGCAAUCUAAACAGUUCUUUCUUUCACGUUAAUAUUUUUCUUCAUUUGAUUGCAAUGUAAUUGUUUGAAAGAUUUAUCCAAUUGGCUAUAAUGGAGUUAUUUCUUCUCCAUGACUUUAUUUCCUCUCAAUCUUUUUGUUCUAUUUGUGAUUAAGAAGAGAAUAAUGGUGGUUGAAAAUUUCUUAGUUUUUUUUAAAUAAAAAAGUGAAUUCAAAAAUAGUUUUUGAGGUUUUUUGUUGAUCCAACAUUUUCUGAAUUUUACUAACAUGCAUGUUGUGGUCAAGUGAUGAUAUUCCAUUCAAAUUGCUUGGCAAUCAAUCAAUUAUCCUUAAUUAGUCAAAUUUAUGAACUUAUGAGAAUGAAAUGUGUUUACAUGAAACGUUAAGAAUGAAAUUGGUCAAAAUUAUAAAAUUGUAAUGAUAAAAUGUGUUUUGACUGAAAUUUUGGGGACGAAAUUGCCUAACACCUCAAACAAUGAGGACGAAAAGUGCAUUUUUCCCUAAAAAUAAAAUGAACCUUCAUCCUUCCCCUUAUGUUUUUGGGCUACAGUCCUUUUUUGUUAUUACUGUGUUGAUAUUCAAGAUAACCGAACGUAUAUAGCUAGACAUGUUCCUUUUGAGGAAUCUAAGUUUUCCCCAUUCCUUGGUCCUUCUAUACUUGGUCCACCACCACGUAAAAAACAAACCAAUUCAAUCCACCUUGACUUGUUCUACCAAUUCAUGUUUUCAAAUUCAAUGGAUCCUACAUACAUUUUUAUCACAAACCGACUACUACUCUAACCCUUCUUGUCAAAGUCAAAUGAACUGACCCUAUGGUACUUCGUCACGUAACCAUCCAGAACAAAAACAAUACUACUUUAGCAAAACUUAUCUCUAAACCUUCUGUGGAGUCAUCUGAACUUAUCUCUAAAUUGAAAUAUGAAGUUAGCUGACAAUAAAUUACUUUCACUCAAUUAUUACUUAACAAAAUAAGUACAGUAUAUUGAAAAUCAAGAUGAGAAUGUGGGGUUGGGACAUCUACAUUUGCUUUCUGGUAUAGAGUCCAUUUCACCAUGUUCACAUCACCUUGGACAGUUGCCUGGAGAGUGGCUUUUACCAAAACACAGGUCUAAUUUUAAUUGAAAAAAAAAGUAAAUAUCAAAAUGGUGGAAUUAAAACAAGCAUGUAUAAGCUGGAAUCCAUCAACAAAAUUUAAAAAAAAAUGAAUAAAGAGAUUAAUUGGUUAAACUCACAUAGUAAUUUUCAAGGCCAUAAAACCAUGUUCAUCCUAGAUGGAGUCUGAUCAUUAAUCAUUUGGAGUACAAGACAGGCCAGUAUAAUUUCUUAUGUUUGGAUAGACUAGAUCUAUGUAGAUCACGUGAUUCAAAUUUUAUCAUACAAUCUCAGCAACUCAAGAAUUGAUGGUAUAGAAAAUUGUACCACAAGAUCAAGUCUAUCCAACUUUUUACCUCCUCGGUAAACUAUCAUUACUUAGUUUUAUGAGUAUCUUUUCCUUGCCAAGAAAACUAAUGAAAUGACUGAUUCUUUUUUUUUUUUUGGGUGUAAAGGCAACCACUUGAGUGAUUUCAGGAGAGACAAUGAUGACUUUAAGCUAUCAAAGUUUACUUUGCAGUAAAAAUGUAUGGCUCCAAAAAUUUUCUCACAGUCUUGUUAAAAGCUAUCAUAUAUAUGUCUGCUUUUAAUCCUACAGAUUAAUUACUGAGUAAUAGCUUUCUUGGCCCAUGACAAUAGGAACCGUCCGUCUUAGUGUCACAUAAUGCAGAUUCGUAAAACUUUAGCCCGACACCUAAGGGAGAUUCGCACUGAUAUUUCUAAGCUUAGGUAGGACCAAUAGGAGCCAAAAGAUGCCUCAGGCGCAUCAAAACUCGGUUUGGACCCCACCAAUUUACGCUAGAGCCCGUUGUGCAUUACAUCCAUGGGAGUUCGCCUUCCCCACCACAAUUUACAAGGACAGGACAGGAGCACCAAAAUUGGUCUUGUGUUUCGGCCCCAUCUCUCUACAGUAGAGUAGAAAGUCUUGUACGUGUAUCCAUGGGCCUGGUCCCGGGCCUUCCCUUCCCCACCACUAAUUAUACGAGAUUGGACAGCGACCACCGUAUAAAAUUUUUGUCCAUUGCUGAUUUUGGAGUUUCUGAAUAAAAAUGUAUUAUUAUAGUGAUUGGAUGCAUGCAAAAAGAUGGUUAGAAAAUUUGUUUACGGAAAAAAUAUAAUCUUUUUUUUUGGAAAAAUUACUUUUCAAAUGAUGCCUAGAGUCGGGUACAAACUACCCUCAAGGCAUACAAACUACCAAUCACAACUAUUAGAUUUAAGCCAUGCUUUUAUCUAUUGUCUGAGAGUAGUAAUUCUUAGGCCCUGUUUGGAAUCAAGUUUUUUGGCCAAGUUUUUUAGCUACUAGUUUUUUAACAACUUUAGCUACAGGAACCCAAAAAAACUUAUCAAAUUUUUUAACCUACACACUUUAAAAUAUCUAAUACACAAAAAACUUUCCAUUUUCUUCUUCUUUCUCCCCCACCCCUAUCCACCACACCUCCGCUGCCGGCCACCACCACCUCCACCGCUGUUUCCGGCGCCGGCCUACCCCUUUUUUUUCCUUCUCCCUCUCCCUCUCCCGGCCUCUCCCCCUCCCCCUCUCUUUCCCUCCCCUCCCCUCCCUGGCCACCCUCCCGCUUCCUCUCUGGUCGCACGCUACCACGAAAGACCGAAUUGGGCAAAAGGCUUCCGCUUCCUCUCUGGUCGCACGCUAUGCGAUCUGGUCGAACGAUCGAAUUGGGCAAAAAGGGAGGGGGGAAGGGGAGGGGAGGAGAGGGGGAGAGGGAGAUGGAGGAGAGGGGGAGAGAAAAAGCAAAAAAAAAAAUUGUAUUCUGCCAUGGCUGCUGGUUCUCCGCUUCGGGAGGGAGAGGGGGAUGGUGAAGGGGAGUAGAGGGGGAUAGGGGAGUAGAGGGGGAUAGGGGAGCAGAGAAGGAGAAGAGGGGAAGAAAAAAUGAAAAAAAAAAAUUGGGGAGAGGGGCUGUUGGUCGUCUGGUACCGCGAGGGAAGAGGGAGGGGGAAGGAAGGAAGAAGAAGAAGAAGAGGAGAGGAGAGAAAAGAAAAAGGAAAGAAAGAAAGAAAAAGAAAAAGAGAGAGAAAAAGAAAGAAAAGAAAAAAAAUGGAAGGGCCAUGGCUGCUGGGACUGAGAAGGCAGAGGUAACGGGGGAGGGAAGGGGGAGGGAGAAGGAAGAAGAAGAAGAAGAGAAAAAAGAAAAGAAAAAGGAAAGAAAGAAAAAGAAAGAGAAAGAGAAAGAAAAAAAAAGGAAAAAAAGUUUUUCGCUUUAAAAAAAUUUCUACAAAAAAGUUUUUCACCUUACAAAAACUUCUACAAUUUUUUCAAAAACUUCUACAGUGCACUACAGUAAAGUUUUAGACAAACUCCUAAAAAACUUAGGUUCCAAACAGGCCCUUAAUUUCAGCAUUAGUAGCAAAUGUAAAAACGAUUCCGCAGGUUAUACUUUGUGUGUUUGAAACACUUCUCUCUAAAACUCUUUCUCUCUCCCUUUUCUCUCUAAAACUCUUCCAAUCAAGAUCUUCUUCAUCUCUUUCACGGGAAAGAGAUCAAAUCUGAUUUUUUACCUCUGGGAGGAAGUACUCUUUAUACUUUUUAGUUUCUCUUGUUUAAAUAAAGGGAGAAUUGUAAUUUCAUCCAAUUUUGUAACGGAAUCCUAAUUGCGUGCAAUCACUUGCCUAGAUGUAGGAGCAUUUUAAAAUUUUUUUAACUCACAAAAUGCCGAUGACUUCCCUUUGGGAUUUCACUCCAAUUAUCCGAAAAUAAAAAAUAACCUGGGUUACACAAAGUCACAAACUUUCGUCGAUAUCCAUCUAAAGACUUUCGCCUCCGUCCUCUGCAGUUUGCUCACAUCCUUUCCAGGAAUCCCCUCUCUCUUCUCUCUGUCCUUUCCUUUUUCUUUUGUUUUCCCUUUCUAAAAGGACUCAAACUUCCUUUGCUCCGGUAAAUCCAUACAUGCUUUACCUUUUUCCCAGUUUUCCUUUUAUAGUCUUGGAUCUGCUUAGCUUUUCUGUUCCUUUUGUUUUUGAUACAAAUAUUGAGGCAAAUAAUAAGAGAAGCAAAAGACAAAUGUUUAUUGCUUUGUAAAACUCACACAACUUAUAACAUGAAAUUACUCUAUUUAUAGAGUUUAAAUCAACUCCACUAACUAUACCACUAACUCCACUCACUCCACUAGCAACUCCACUAGGUACUCCACUAAUCCCACUAGUUAUUCCACUAACUCCACUAAUUAGGUAGCAUAAACAAAUAUAAUUAAUUAACAACGGCAAAUAUUUCUAACAAUUCCUCCCUUAAACUGAAAGUUUAUCAAACAUUCAGUUUAAUAUGAUUUAUUAACUGCACAGACUCCAAGCAGCUUCCUUAAUUUCUGAAACGUGGAUAACUUCAAUGGCUUGGUCAUUAUAUCAGCAAUCUGAUCUUCACUUUUGCAGUAGAGAAAAUCAAUUAUUCCAUCCCUUGUGAGCUCCCUUAGAAAAUGAAACCUCACAUCUAUGUGUUUGGUUCUUUCAUGUAGAACUGGAUUUUUAGAGAGUUUGAUGGCAGAACUGUUGUCACAAUAAAUUGUAGUAGCUCCUUCUUGCUGAAAAUGCAACUCUUCAAGAAUAUUCCUUAACCAAAUUGCUUGACAGGCACAGGCGGUUGCAGCUACAUACUCAGCUUCAGUUGUUGAUAACGUAAUAAUUGGUUGCUUUUUUGAACACCAUGAAAUAGCUGCUGAACCCAUCAUGAACACAUAUCCAGACGUACUCUUUCUAUCAUCAGAAUCGCCUGCAUAGUCACUGUCAGUGAAACCAAACAAAUCUAAUUUUCCACCAUUCUUGUAAAAUAAUCCAUACUCAAUAGUUCCCUGCAAGUAUCGAAGAAUCCUCUUAGUAGCUAGAAGAUGUGUCUCCCUUGGAUUUUCCAUGUAUCUACUAAUAAGACUUACAGCAUGUAUAAUAUCAGGCCUAGUUGCUGUCAAAUACAUCAAACUUUCCACAAUUUGCUUGUAAAGGGUGCUAUCAACCCUCUUUCUCCUGGUUCUUUGAUGAGUUUUAAACCCACUUCAACUGGCGUACUAACAGAAUUACAAUUCGACAUUUGAAAUCUAUUCAGAAUUUUUUGCACAUAUUUUCUUUGAGAGACAAAAAUUCCAUCAGCAGAUUGCACCACUUCAAUACCCAAAAAAUAAUGCAUCUUUCCAAGAUCAGACAUAUCAAAUUCGGCCAUCAUAGAUUUCUUGAAUUUCUCAAACAUGGCACUAUCAUUCCCAGUAAAAAUAAGAUCAUCAACAUAUAAGCAAACAAUCAGCAAUUCCUCGCUUUGACAGUCACUGUGAUCAUUGGAGCAUGCUAAUGGAGAACUUCUUGAGAUCCAAAGAGUAUUGACAGAUUGUUGAAUCUGGAGUAGCAGAGCCAACAGCUGGAGAAAUAUUGUUAGAGGUGCAGAAAAUGGAGUUGGAAGCAUUGAAACUGAAAGAUUUUAAAGCCAAAAAUUAUCUUUUUCAAGCUAUUGAUCAGGCCAUUUUGGAGACAAUUCUUAGCUGGCUGCACAAAAUUGUCAGUGGCCAUCAUAAUUUACCAACACAAUUCUCACAACUCACUUUUGUUUUCACUCACAAGCCUAGCUCUAGUACCACUGAUACAAAUAUUGAGGCAAAUAAUAAGAGAAGCAAAGGACAAAUGUUUAUUGCUUUGUAAAACUCACACAACUUAUAACAUGAAAUUACUCUAUUUAUAGAGUUUAAAUCAAUUCCAGUAACUCCACUAACUAUGCCAAUAACUCCACUCACUCUACUAGCAACUCCACUAACUCCUCCACUAAUCCCACUAGUUGUUCCACUAACUCUACUAAUUAGGUAGCAUAAACAAAUAUAAUUAAUUAACAACGGUAAAUAUUUCUAACAGUUUUGGGUUUGAAGCGGAUGUAGCUUGAAUAUUAUACAGGAGGGGAAGGGAUCUGAGGUAUUUUUCCAUUUUUUGAGCCCGGAAUUAGGCCUCCAUGCGUGAUAUACUGUUUAUUUAUGGCUGCAGAGAUUUGUUUGUGAGUGAAACUGAUAUUUUUGUUCAUCCUUGAAAGUUUCUGAAUCUAAUGAUGUUUCCCAAAGGCAAAGUUAUACUUGGAUUUUGAUUUUGAUUUUAAAAUUUUGUGGUAGCUUGUCUAUUUAAGGUUAUGAAAAAAGAAUGCUAAACUCAUAGUUAGCUUCAGUUUCUAGAGCAUCAGCUUCACCUGAUUGGUGUUAGCUUUUCAUCUUAACGGAAGCAGGAGUUAUGACUAUGUUUCUUGCUGUUUUCUUUUGUUACUUUUUGUGAGAGAACGCAUCUUGGAAGAUGUAUGUUUAUGUUUAGCUUUUCAUAGAACCACAAUGUGUUUGAGAAAACCAUAUCUGAUUUUGUAGCAAAUUACCAAAACUAAAAAUCCUGAAAUUUCCUUCUGGUUUGAAUCGUCAAAGUAGAUUUCUUUACUCGGGGUCAAUGAUGAAAAUUCACUCAAUUAUCACUAAUAUAUGAUUAUGACCUUUCUUGGAUAUUAUUUACUUUUCAUGUUGGUUUUGUUUGUGCAGGAGGAUUUCCUAACUGACCAUGUUCAGAAACCUGAAAUUACUGAUUAUGCUAUCAUAAUUUAAGUCAUCUUCGGGUGCAAUGGAGAGUGAUUGCCUUACGGGUUCUUUUCGGCCCUGCAUAGACAAUGAAAUCAUGCAUAAAGCUUGGAGAUUAAUUCGAUGACGCAUCCCUGUUGCUUAUCCAACUCAAUUGAGUCAAGCUGAUCUUUUACACCGAGUUCUACCCGGAUAACAUACAUGUGUAAAAUGCAUAGCAACAGUAUGUCAAAAAUUGCUUCCCGAUUUAGAGUGAGUAAAGUUAUUGGGGGCUUACAAGCUGUAAUCUUUGAUGUUUGAAUGCGCCUUUGAGUUUGACGUAUCAAACUUGGAUAUUGCGGAGUAAUGAAUUAUGUUCCCUAUUUUUAUUUUCUUUUUCCUUCGAAAGGUCAUUGAUCUUCUUGCUUCUUUUUUCUGGAUAAUCAACCAUCUGAGAGUUCUUACCUUCUAAUAAUCUCCUUAGAAAAUUUUAUUUAGUCACUUCAAUGCAAAAGACAUAUGGCCUGAUAUGCACUCGACUUAACAAUAAUGAUAUCACAGAACAAUCCAUAAGGAAAUAAUAUUGCUCAAGAAGAAACCCCGCAUGCUCUCUUUGACAAUUUUUCCUUUUUCUAAAAUUUAUUUGCAUUUCCAUCAUAUGGUGAAGGGUGUAUUUCUAAUUUUUGUUUUCGUACAUCCCAAAGCAGGAAAAGAAAUUAAAGGACUUUGCUAUAGAUAAGUUUAUUAGGAUAGAAAAGAACAGAGAUGUGAAAAAAUGAAAAGAAGAGAAAAUGAGAGGAUAGAUUUUGACUUUUUAAAUAGUUUAUGAGUGCACGCGGCACAUUCCGUUACUCAAUUGGAAGGAAUAUGUCAAUUGUCCACUUUUAUGCAAAAUUGGAUAGAUGAGGGAUCAAAUUUACUGUUUGAAAUAGAUUGAGAUCCAGUUCCGUGCAUGGGUCCGUGCAUGGGUAAUACAUUGAGGAUUACAAUUACAAUUCUCCCUUAAAUAAAUUCUCUCCUAAAAUUUUCUAAUAAGAAAUUCUUCUCUUCUAGGAUCUCCUGGUGAGAGUUUCUUUUCUCCUAAAUUAUUCUAAUAAGAGUUUUAUUCUCUUCUGAAUUUUUUCUUGUGAGAGUUUUUUAGGUUUUUAUCUUUGCUAAAUUUGAGAUUUUAUAGAUCUAAAAUCUAGUUUUCCAUAUCCGCAAUUUCUCCAUUAUUGUCAGAUCUAAAUUUCUCUUUGGAUUUGAAUCAGUUUUAAUCCAUUAUUGUUAGAUAUAAAUUUUUCUUUGGACUUGAAUCAGUUUUAAUCAGAUAUGAUUGUCAAUAGACAUGCGCUUAUAUAUUGGAAUACAGUGAUUCAUCCGGAUGGAAGAUAUAUAGAAGCAUUAAUGUUAUUUUUAUUUGUAUUAUUUUCUUAAAUCUGUUAUAUCUAUUGAUUUUAGAUCUACAUGUAUCUGUGUCAUAUUUGUUUGAUGUAUUUUCUACCAUUAGUACAGAUUUAUUUGAAUGAAAUGAUCUUUUUUAUAUAAAAAAAAUUUCAGCAUUACUAAGGUAAUUGUAUUGUGUUUAAUCAACCUGUUUAUUUGCUUUUUCGUCUUUCACAUCUACUAACAUUUAUCAUUGCAAUCAUAUUUUACUUGUAAUAACGUGUAAAACAAAACCAUCGUAGUUAGCAAUUACUCCACUUCAUAUUUUAGUCCUUUUCAUGGUUUUACCCAAUUACUCAUAGUCAACACUGGUAGAGUUAGGCAUUAAUUUUAAAAAAUGUAUCAAGUUGUAUUCCGUUUUCUCUAUUGUCCAAUAAAAUGUCCUCACUAAUUAGUUUUCUUUUUCCAAUUCACUAUUAUCUGCGUAAAUGAAAAUAAUAUUAUUCGUCGUGGAAUCACAUUUUUUUAAGUGUAUUUAUGUUCUAUCAAUAUUCAGUGACAAAUACAAAUUUACAUCCAUUUGUCUCUUCUUUCAUUGUUAAUAUUCAAUAUGCGUCGUUCAAUCUCCAAUGCGCAAAUUUGAUAAAAUUAUAUAUUAUUUUAUUUCUUAUAUUCACUGAAUUAUAAACUGCCAAAUUUCUAAUAUAUUCUCUAUGUCUUCCAAUUCAAGAAAACCAUACCAUUUCUCCGAAAUACAAAGUUAUAUAUCAAUUAACAAUGUUUAACAGACACCCCAUUUAUGCAUUUUCCCUUAAAGGCUCUUCACUUAUUACACCUUUUUUAAUCUUACACUUUACUGCAAUGGCAUGACACGUUAUGAUGUUUCAUACAAUGACCCAAUUCAUUUUUAUCAACAAGAUGUGGGCAACAACUAUGCACUCGUAACUUUUGCCUAGCAAAAUGAACAUUGUAUAAUGUAAAGGGCUAUAUUACCAUUAUAUAUAUAUAUAUAUAUAUAUAUAUAUAUAUGUGUGUGUGUGUGUGUGUGUGUGUGUGUGUGUGUGUGUAGAACUCAAAUUUUGAAUGAUUUCUAAUAGUGCCAACACCUGCAAUUAAAAUCUUAUAAAUUCUCUUAAACUCUCUUGACUCUUAUAGAUACUCUUAACAAGAUUUAUCAACUAAUGUUUUAUUUAUAACCUCCUACACUUAUCGUGUAAGAAAUCACUUACACAAAAAAUUACCAAAUAAAGUAUAAAUUCCUAAAUUACGAUAACUACUAAAAACCUGAUUCUAAAUAAAACUACUAAAUAAUUAGAUAAAAACUUGUAGUCUUGAUUCAUUUGCCAGCAAAUCAAUCAUAUAGUAUUUGUUAGCUACUAAUUUUUUCAACCCAUAUCAAGUCUUUUACGUGCCACCAAUAAUAGCUCUUUUAUCGGCAUUGACCUAUUACCCAAUUUGAACUUCAUCCCUGCAAGAAGAACGACGAUCUAAUUUGGACAACAAAGAGCUCGGGGUGCUUGGGGGGAACCAGAAGAGAUGGGACCUUAUGGCCCUGCUCGCCAACUCAGUUGUCUUAGAGUUAAUUGCAAGAAAAUCUCGUCCAAAACGUGCACAUCGUGUUUUGCUUUGCCAUGUAAUCUUCUUCUUCUUCUUCUUCUUCUUCUUCUUCUUUUUUUUUUUUUUUUGUUUUUGCUUUGCUAUCUAACCUGAUUGUUCUGACACCAGAAAUAUUUGUAAAUUUAUUUCUUGCCCAUUUGAACAAACUUGAAAAUAUAAAAAAUGACCUCUUUUAGGGUCCGUUUGGCUGGGAGUAAAAUGUUUUCCUUGGGAAAAUAUUUUCCAUGGAAGUAAUUUUUCAGGAAAAUCAUUUCCCUUUCAUCAUUUUCAGGUGUUUGGUUAGCCUAUUGAAAAUAUUUUUUUACUUCAUUUUCUGGUGUUUGUUUAACUUUUGAAAUAUUUUCCAACUUUGAAAUAUUUUCACUUUUACCUCUGUCUUUACUUUCUACACAUUAUAACCACAUACUUCUUCCCAUGCAAAAUAAAAAAAUAUUUAUCUCAUUUUUUAACUUUAAAAAAACUUAAAGAAAUGUAUAUAUGGAUAAAAAAUUUCUCCUUAAGCAAUAAACAAAUUGCUAACCAUUCAUUGUCAAAUAUCAAUCACACGAAUGCUUAUUGUGACAUAUAUCUUACAGUCUCACUGCUAAAAGUUUCUCUAGAAAAGAAUGCCCCUAUUAUACAUAAUUAAUUGCUAGAAUAAGGUGAGUAGGGUGAGGCCUUUUUUUUUAUUUUUUAUUUUGAGCAUACUAUGGGCCUGUUUGAAACCUUGAUUUUUUACCAAGUUUGUAUAAAACUAAUUUUUUAACAACUUUUGCUACAGGAAUCCCAAAAAACUUAUCAAAGUUUUUAACCUACACACUUCAAAAAUACAUAAAAAACUUUCCCUUCAACUUUUCUUCUUUUUCCUCCCCCACCCAACCCACCACGUCCUUCGUUGCCGGCCACCACCUCCACCACCGCUGCCGCCGGCUAGGGGUGGCAAUUUUCGACACGACCUGAAAACACGACACGAAUCUAACACGAAAUUAAUGGGUUUGGGUUGAGGUUUCGGGAAUUCAGGUCAGAAUCGGGUUGAACCCGAAAAGAAAACAGGUCGAUUUCGGGUCAACCCGUGGUGACCCGAUAUGACCCGUUUAUGAAUUAAAAAUAAUUUAAUAAACAUAAAAAUAAUUUUAUCUGACUAAGCUAAGUUAUUCUUUUUUUCAAACGCAUUAAUUACUUAAUCCUAAAUGAAUUUAUUUAAUUUGUGUGAAGUUGAAAUUAUUAUAUUUGAACAAAUAAUAUAUUAUAUUAUUUUUUACUUUUAUACUGUUUUAAUUUAUUUUAUAUUUUGUUUGGGAUAAAACACUUUUACGGUGUUUAAUUUAUUUUAGAUUUGGCUUGAAAUUAUUUAUUUAAAUUUUUAUUACUUGAUUAUGUAAUUAGUUUUGUGAGAAAUUAAUUUUAUUAGAAAUUACAGUGAUAAAUUAAUAAAUUAAAAUUAAAUUUCGGGUCGACCUGUCAACCUGAAAUUUUCGGGUUCGGGUCAAUAUACCUGACCCGUCACCGGUUGGCGGGUUGGGUUCGGGUCAAUAGAUUUUUUGACGGGUCGGGUCAAACCCAACCCGCCAACCUGAUUUGGACCCGAAUUGCCACCCCUACCGCCGGCGGUCACUAUUCCGACAGCUAGUUCUGGCCUUCCUCUUUUUUUUUUCUCUCUCCCUCACCCCCUCUGCUCCUCUCCCCUCCCCCUUUUGACCGAUCUAUUGGUGCUCUUUUUCUUUUUUUUUUUUUCUUUCUCUCUCCCCCCUCCCUUCUUCGCCUCUGCCUCCCCCACCACCCUCCCCUUCCCCCUUUGACCGAUCUGGUCGCUCGACCAGAUUGCAAAGGGGGAGAGGAAGGGGGUUGCGAUCUGGUCAGCUAGGGGAGGGGGAAGGUAGCGGGGGAGGGAAGGGGAGGGGUAGCGGGGGAAGGAAGGGGAAGGGGAGAGGGAGAGGGAAAAGAGGGAUGGCGGGGAAGGUAGAGAGAGGGGUGGUAGGGGAGGGAGAGGGGAAGAGAAAAAAAGCAAAAAAAAAAAAGAAAAAAGAAUCACUUGUUAGUUGCUGCCAUGGAAGUCUCGGGAGAGAGAGCAGGGGAGGGAAAGGGGAGAGAGAAGAAGUGGGGAGGGAGGAAGGAAAAGAAAAAAGAAAGAAAAAAAAAUUCAUCUUACAAACACCCAAAGUUUUUCUACGACUUCUACAGUGAUCUACAUUAAAGUUUUAUACAAACACCCAAAAAACUCACCUUUUAAAUAGUCCCGAUCUUUGAAAGUUUGACAGAUACCUUUGUAGACACCAAAAUUUUAAUAAUCCCUUCUUAUUAUUUAUUUCAUUUUUAUUUUUACCUUUUUAUUCUCAUUUUUAAGGAAAUUUUAUUUAUUUGUUUGGUUAUGCAGGAAAAGAAAGAGAAGGCAGAAAAGAAAAGAAAAAAUAAAAAAAAAGGGAGGAUGCCUCACGCGCGCGUGCGCAUCAUCUUCCUGGUUUCGUACAGAAGCCAGGAACAAGUCUCAGGAAUUGCAGCCGGCCAUUUGAUCCAUUUCCACUCGUUUCUAUUGCAUUUUUUUCCCUCCAAGCCCUUCGGUACAAUGCCAACUCAUCCUAGUUGGAAUCUAUCAAGAAAUAUCCAGAUCAAAAGCCACCCGAUGGCUUCAAAAAUGCCACAAAAAAAAACCCAUUUCAUCUGCACCAUUGAAGCAAGGGUUUGGGAGGUGUUUUGUGCCUAUAAAAGGCUCAUAAACGCAGCCCUAAAGAAAGAGAACAAGGGAUAGGUGGCUGAAGGAAGAAAAAAACAGAAAAGAUAGAGAAACCAGAGAGAAGAAAGGAAAGAAAAUUUUCUGGAAAAUUCGAUACCGGGUUGAUCGAGCAGCCAUCUUUGGAUGUCAUUUUCUCUUUCUUUUUAGUUAUUUUUUCAUAUUAAUACUCUAUGGAGGUAGAUAAAGAAUUUUCGUGUUGAAGGUCUCUGGAGAAAACAACUUUAAAGCCAUGAAAUCCGACGCCAAAGUUGGAAGAAAACCAGCCCUGGUUCCGUCGUAAUUUUGUUGAAAAUUUUUCAAUCCGCUUCCACUAGCAUUUUCCGGGUUCCAGUUUGUUUCUAGAGCUUCACAAGGUAUUUUUAUAACCUCUAUUAGUUUGAUUCGACACUAAACUAAGAUAUUUGCACGAGUUUAUGGGAUUUUGCAUUUUUGUUGAUUUUUGGUUGAGAUUCCUUAUGUCUUGGAAAGCUGUUCUUUUGAUGGUUUAAAAAUUAGCUAAAAAAUAGCGUAGAAGAUGACUUGAUGUUUGCUUUUGAUAGAGUGGCCGAAUAACUUGUAGUUUUUGGUGUUUCCAUGGUUGGUUCCGUCGAAGUCAGUUUCAUGGCUUCUUUCUUGCAUUAUUAUCAUAUUUGCGCCUAUUUGAUCUUCAAAAAGGCUUUGUAUCGGAGUUUUUGGUUGUGUUAAUGAGUGGUAUAUUCUGUUGGAUUUUAGUUCACAAAUCAAUGGUUUUGUUUGAGCUCAUGCAUGAUUUUCCACGUAUAAAGCUGAUACUUUGCGAAGAAAAGUUGCAGAAGAUGAAAUGAAGAAGAAAGCCUCGGUUCUGAUUUGCAUGAAACUUUUAAAAACUACAUUUCGACCCCUAAAUUUUCACCUAAUUUCACUAUGACCUAAAAACUUCUACAAAUGAACCAUCUUGACCCCUUUUAAAUUUUAAUCAUCUUUUACAUAUUUUAAACAUGUUUGUGGGCGAAAUAAUUCUGGGUUUUAAGACAUUAUUAGGAUUAAAUAAUUUUUUUAGUUGAUUUAUUAUCCUAUUAGGUUUUGGUAAAAUAAGUGUGGUUUUGGGUUAAGGGUUAUUGUUUGGGUUUUGGUUAUGAAUUUUAGUUAUUUUGAUUGGGUUUUUUUUCGUUUGGGUUUCUUCGAGCAAAACUAUGGGUUGGCUUGUGUAUUCUGCCUCGGACUUUCGCUGGGCUUGGGGAGGUUUCAGCCCAACUAAAGCAAAAGAAAAUGAAAGAUAGCCCAAUGGCCCAAUUCCUUAAGAAACACUGAGAAUUGCAAUAUGGUCCCUGUACUCUUGUAUAAUUUUGUUUUGGCCCUAAAAACUUUAGUAUUCUUUUAAUUAGGUCUUUAAUUUAAUUGUGCUUUGGUACCUAAAUUUUUUUCUUUCAUUUUGACCUCUAUUUUUUGUAAUAAUUGAAUUUAACCCCAAAAAUUUCUUAAUUUUUGUAAUUAGGUCCCUAAUAGUUUUGAUUUCUUAAAUAUAAUUUACUUUUCUUCUUUAAUUAUAGAUUAUACUUCAUUUAAAUACUUUGAUUGGUAGAUUUCAUGAUAAUUUCCAUUUAUUUAUAAUUAAAUUAGUGUCUUAAUCAUUUUGUUCGUUUUGGAGUAUAAGUAGGGCAAAUUUCACCCUAUUUAAUCACCACUUCACGAGAGGUAACCUCUUUUAUUAUUUUAAACUCUUUCAUGUGCUCCAAUGUGUUUUUAUGUGUAAUUGCAGGUUUUGAAUGUUUUUUCUUUUAAUUAGUCAUUCUUAUUCAUUUUUAAGUUUUAUUUGUUUUAUUUAAUUUUGAUGAUUAUCUGAGAGGCAUUAAAAUGCCAAGUUGUAACAGAUAGGUGCUCAAGACAUGUAUUUUGCUAGUUUAUGCAAUAGAUAGGUUCUAAUUUUUGUUUAAAAUGUAUUUAGUUAGAUGAAUAUAAUAAUUAGGUUAUUUUUUUUUUGAAUUCCCCUUUAGAUUGUAGUUAGGGUCCGAAUGUAAUAGUUAGGCUUUUAUUUGCAUUUAUUUGUUUGGGUGCUUGCAUGCUUGUGUGUUUAUGUGUUUACUCAUUUUCAUUUGGGUUUUGUAUCUAGAAAUUAUGAUUAUGUGUUAUGUGCUCUAUGUGCAUUAUGUGUUUAUUUGUUUUAAUUAUGCUUUAUAUGAUUUAUUUAAUUAUAAUAAAUGCAUGACGUCACCACAUCAGUCCAACGCUAAUUGUGACCUUCCUUCGCGAUUUCUCACUAGUCCCACGCUAGUGAGAACUUAUAGACAUGGGUUAGUUAUUUAGUCCAAUGCGAGACUCUUAGGGACCGUCCACGCACUAUAUCAUGUUUUUGUGACAAUCACUACAUUUCAUGCAUAUUUUCUACUUUUUAGAAUCCCUACCAUUUGGCAUGAUAUUUCCUCUAUAUGUAUAUUCCUUAUCCCUAUGUGCGAAAUAGAACAUUUAGACUUGCGUUUCAUUUAAGAAACUUAGAAAUAUGUGAGAUCAUUUGCUUGAUUAGAUUAGGAGAGCACCCCUUCAAAUAUGGGAAAUGAACAAGUAUAGCUACUUAGUCUUAGCACGCUCGUGUCUCCUCUAUAAGAAAAAAAAUUGAGUUACAAAUCUUAGUCCCCCGUACUCAUUAUCAUGCAUUCCUUUAGCUCAUGUAUAUUUGUAUAUUAUUAUUUUUCUUUCUUUUCUUCGAGUCUCAUCUUUUGCAUAUUCGUAACCUUUUCAAAGAGUCACUCUUGGGCGUCUCAAUUAAUGCGCUUUGCGCCAAUUAAAUUUUGAAGAGAUAUUUCGACCAUCCCGAUAUCCAUUAGGUCUAGAUUUGCAUAGAUAUAGUAACAUAUAAAUGUGAUAAGUUUUAUAGGUUAAAUUAAAAAAUUUUUAACUAAAUCACACAACUAACCUUGACUAGAUUGAAAGGGUGUCAUAGAUCAAAUCUUUGUCUUCUCUUUCUUCAAUCGUGACUCCUGAACUUUUUUCUUUUGUUUUCAAAGACGUGGAGUCGUUUAAAGAGGGUUUUACCUAUUUUUUUAUUAAAAAAAUAUUUUUGGGUGAUUUGGUACACCUUAACUCAAUAUCAAGUGACGACUCCUAUUUUUUUAAACUAUUAUUUUGGGCCAAAAUCGUCGCACUUUUAAAGUCCCAUGUUAGGCUCUUUUUCUGCAUUUAUUCUCUAAAAAUCAAAAACUCAUUUUUACUCAAAAUUAAUCAAAAAUUCAUUUUUUAUAACACGUAAUUUUAUUUUUCAAAAAAAUGGGGCACGACAACCUUUAUCAGGCGGGACACAUACGUUUAGAAAAACAACUUUAGUAAGUUUGGAAGCGAAGUUGUUUUUUAUAAGAUGAGUGAAAAUCUUUUACACAGUAAAAUAUUUUCAGUAAUUUUGUGCAACCAAACAUGGGAAAUUAGGAAAUUAUUUUUCUCGAAAAGAUUUUCAACCGAACACAAACAGACCCUUAAUGCAGUAUCAAUUACUUCUGGAAAGCAACUUUGCUAUAUAAUGCAACCACCGAUACCCCAAGCACUAUUUAUUUGACCAAAUAACAAUCUUUUUUCUACACAUGCUUCAUGUCAUGGAAAAGUCUGCAAUAACGAUCGUUAUGAUAACGAAACUGUUUUUACCUGAUAUAACAGGUAGAAACAAUUUUAGUGACCAUUUGAUUACCUAUUGGACUGGUCACCUAAAUAAGAUAGUACCUAAAAAUUUGAUUAGUAAGUUUUACAUAAAAAAUAGUAAGUUAACUCGAUAAAUUAGUAACUUUUAUGUCUCAACAAGUAAAUUGGAAUAAAUAUGGAACUUACUUUUUUUUUAAAAUAAAUUACUACUCGAUAUCCAAAACUUACUUUUUGGAGAGUAAGUUUAGUUCAAGUAAUACUAAGUUUUUAUAGAUUAAUAGUAAAUAUUGUUGAUAGAAUAGUAAAUUUAGUUAGUGGUCAAAACCUACUAGUUUGUGGUAUAAAUUUACUAUUUUACUUAAAAAACUUAUAUGAAACAAGUAUUAGGAAGUUCAUUUGAAGUAAUGCUAAAAUUUUUUAUUAAUGAUUAAAACUUAGUAUUAUAGUUAGUAAUUACUCAUAAUGUAAAUAUAUGAUACACAAUUGUACGUAACAUUUAUAAAUGUUAUAUUGUUUAAGCAUUUUAACUAUACUAUGAAAACUAUUUUUUUUUGCACAUGACCUUUAAAAUAUGUAAGAAUAAUUUGUCAUAUUAUAAAUUUUGAAUUAUUUUUGAAUUUGUGAAAGGUUAGAAAGUUUGGAUGACAAUAACAACAAAUCUUUCAAGUUAUAUAUAGAAUUGCACUUAUCUAUACAUCACAAUUUUCAUAUAUUAAUACCUAUGAAUAUAAUAAAAUGGUAAAGUUUUAAUAAAUUUAUUUACUGGGUCACAAGUAUAAAAGUUAAAGUUGUAUUAUAAUAACAACAAAUCUUUCGAGUUGCAUAUAAAAUAGCACUUACUUAUACAACACAAUUUUCAUAUAUUAAUGCCUAUGAAUUUAAUAAAAUGGUAAGAUUUUAAUAAAUUUAUUUUCUGGGUCACAAGUAUAAUAAUUAAUGUUGUGUUAACAUAGCAUAAUUUUUGAAAAUUAUAAUAAAAUUACCCAUAUGUUAAGUUUUGUGACUUUCAAACAUACUUUGUAUCAUUUACAUUAUGGAUUUGUAUCCAUAUUUUUCUAUCAAACUCUUUUUCAUUGGCAAAUGGUAUAUAAAUUAUUAUAAAAUGUCAUUUUAUAAUAAUCAUAAUUUUUUAUAGAUGAAUGUUAUGCAAACUGUUAAAAUUAUCAAUUCACAAAUGGCUAAAUCUUACUACUUAUGGCAUAUAUUAGUCUAAUUGACUAAAAAAAUACUGUAAUCAUGUAUACGUUGAUUGUUGAAUUGAAAUUUCGUUUAUUACUAGUACAAGUUCUUCUAAUCAAAGCAAAAUAAAAUCAAAUAUCUUUCCCUUUUGUAUGUAGUAGUUAUGUUUAGUAGAAAAUUAUUAAACCAUUUUUACAAUACAUAAUUUCUCCUAAAAUUAGUAAUAUUUUCCAUGACCUCUAACCUUAUCAAUAAUACUAACGACCGACAUGUAGAUAAUCUUAAAAGCAAAAGCCAUCAUUAUGACAAAAAAAGAAUAUUUUCAUGCUGAAUAAACAAAAUUGUAAUUCUAUAUAGAAUCGAAGAAAUUCAUCAUGAAUGAAAAUGAAUUGCAAAGUUAUUACAUUUCUAAUUUCAUAUGUAUCUAGAAUUUCACGCAGCAUUACUUUAGAGGAACUUUCCUUUUUCACACUAAGGAACCAAUCUCAAUCUCUUCGUCUCUUUUAUUUUUUCUUUAACCAUUAAAAUACUAAAUAAAUUUAAUUCCAUUUCAAGCUCUAGUUAAUUGUAUACUAAUAUUUUACACAACAAUCAAUUGAGCACCAAUUUCCUUUUUUUAAGUAGCUAUUAUUUAUUUUAUUACUUUGGUUAAAUAUUUACAUAUAAAAUAAUAACAAUAGAAUGCCAAUCCUCGGAUCAAUGAAACUUCAAUUAUUGUUAAUAAAAAUAAUUUUACAUUGAUAAAAAUUAGUCUACAGAAUGAAAAGUCAAUGGCAACAAUUGCUAAAAUAUAGCAAUUUUUAAUUGUGGGAAAAUAAACAACUAAGUUCCCAAAAUAUUUCACUUUUAUUGUUUAAAAAAUCUCAACUUGUUAACUAAAUUCAAAAUAAUUCUAUUGUCAAAAAUAUUUCUCCUCAAAUUAACUUUAAUGAUUAGAGAUGAGAUACAAAUAUGGCAAAAUAUCGCUCAUACGUGUGUCAUGGAUAUUUGAGACUUUUAGUAAAAAACUUUUUGUUGUUAAAAUAACAUUGUAUCAUAGUGUACUAAUUAUUUUAGAACCAUUUUUAUACGUGAACUAAAUUUAAUUUAAAUUAUACAAUAUAUUAUAUAUGCAUGUGAUUUUCAUUUAUAAUUGUUGGAUCCUAUUUUUUAUGAACAAUCUCCCAAGGAAAAAAGUUCAGAUCAUACUGAUUUUCUUAUAUUAAUUGUUAUACUAAUUUUGUCAUUUUUAUUGUUAUAUUAUUUCUCAUUUUGUUUGGGCUUUAGCUCUUAUUAUUUCUUGUGUCCCAGGUCUAAAUUCAUUAAAACUUUAUCAUCUUAUUAUAUUCAUAAGUGUUAAAUUAUAAAAAUUGUGAUAUAUAAAUAAGUGAUAUUCUAUAUAUAACUAGGAAGAUUUGUUAUUAUUGUUAUUCAAACUUUUCAGAAAUUGAAAAUGAUUAAAAACUUAUAAUACGACAAAAUUUUAUUACAUAUUUUACGAGACUAUGUGAAAAGUCAAAUUAUUUUUCAUAGUAUUUUAAAAUAUAUAAAUUCAAAAUUUUUUUAAAUUAUACUUAUAAUCAUGUAUUAUACAGGUAUAUUACGAGUACUUACUAACUAAGGUAAUAUGUAUUAAUCAUUAAUAAAACAUCUUAUCGUUAUUUCAAAUAAAUUUCCUAAUACUAGUUUGAAAUAUGUUUUAAAGUAAAAUAGUACAUGUGUCCCAUAAUCAAUAAGUUUUGAUUAUUAAUCAAAUUUACCAUAUUAUCAGUAAGAAUUACUAUUUAUGUAUAAAAACUUACUAUUACUUGAAUUAAACUUACUCUCUAAAAAGUAAGUUUGGGAUAUAAAGUAGUAAUUUAUUUAUUUAAAAAGUAAGUUUAAUAUUUAUUCAAAUUUACUUUUUGAAGUAUAAAAGUUACUAAUUUAUUACUGUUAACUUACUAUUUUAGAUGAAAAACUUACUUUCUUAUUUUUAAGUGUUAUUCUAUUUAGAUGGAUAGAUCCAUCAAGUAAUCAAAUGGUCGCUAAAAGUGCAACAACCUGUUAUAUCAGGUAAAAAAUUAUUUCGUUACCAUAAUUAUCGUUACUAAAACAUUGUACUCGUGUCAUAAUCAUCGAGCUUUACAUGAAUUGUUCAUCAAAAUUGGUCUCCCAACUUUGAUCUUAUCAUCUCAUUCUACCAUUUAAUGCGACAGCGAAGAAAGUGAAACUAUACCAUAAAUCUGCCCGAAUACCAUCAAAUAAAUAGCCUACAUGAAUGUGUUAUGUACUAUAAUCUUUUUCCUACUGCAGCUUGAUGAAAAUGGGAAAUAGUUUUACCCUUCAACUCGUAUAGACACUGAACAUACACAAUUUUUUUUUUUUUACUGCAGUUUCUACAUUGAUCUCCUUUUUCUAAUAUUAAGUAACACGAUGAAUUAAUCUCUUAAACUUCCAAAUUGCGGUAAUUACAGACAGAUGUUUGCCAACUUACAACUACAGCUUUGCCAAAUUUCUCAAGACAAAGAAAAAUAUUUUUAAGUAGGCAUCUAUGUGCAAUGUAGGUAUGAAACCAGAGAAUUCUAGUAGGGUUAAUUAGAAAAAUCCAGAACUAUUCAGGCGAUUCAUAGAAUUAUACUUAUUAAAACAUGUCCUAAUAAUUAUAGUGGAAGCAAUUUAAAAAAAAUUAAUGUUGGGAACAAAUUAAGCUAAAUAAAAUAAUCAUUAUCUUUGUCAUACCUAACAAUUUCAUUCAAAAAUAAUUAUUGUCUUUUUCAUACUUAACAAUUUCAAGCUAAUUAAAUCACAGGUGUUUUUCUAAAGAAAAAAAGAUAGCAAGACAAAAUUGUAUAGUUUAGCUUAUUAAACAUCCGGUUUUAGAUAUUUAUCAAACAUUAUAGAUAGAUUUAUUAUUAAGAUUCAGAUAUUCAUAUAUUUCUUUUUAUUAGUUAAAAUUUAGCAAAUUAAUUGUUUCAAUAUUCAGUUUCAGAAUUCAGAUUCAAUUUUAUCAAAUAGGACCUUAGUGUGAACUCUUAAUUGUAAUUGAAUUUGAUAUUUUAAAAUUGACAUUUAAUACAAACUUUUAUGUUUAACUAAAUUUGAUUUUUUCAAAGCCACAAUUAAUACAAAAUCUCAAAUUUAACUAAAUUUGAUUUCUUGUCAAUCACAUUUAGUACAAGACAAAGACAAAGAAACGGUAAAAUGGGAUUUAUAUUACUUACUCGAAAUGAACUUUUUUUGUUUUAAGAAAAAUACAAAGAAAUUAAUGUUAAAAGAUUAACUCCUUUUCAUAAAUUUUUGUCAAAAAGUACAUAGGGAAAUGGAUGGAUUGGGUGAUUCGAAGAAGGACGUGUAAGUGAGAGAUUUUGGUUUUAAGCUUCCCACUUACGCUAUUAAAAUAUAUAAAUUCAAAGUGUAUGUAAUUAGACUAAUUUUUGGGGAUUAUUUAUUCUAACAUGGUCGACAUUAUUGAUGAAAUAUGGCAUCAGCAGAACCUAACACUUUGGAAUUCAUCUGUCCCAGAAUUUCAAAUGGUAACAUUUUUCCUUAAAAUUGGAAUAUUUAUUUUAGGGAGGUAAGAGCAUCCGGUGGAAUUGAAAUAUGAAUUUAGCUAACGGGUGUGCAAUUGGCCCACGUUGAAAUAUCAGCUUGGCUAACCGGUGUUCUAAUGGCCUUCACUAAGUGGGGCGUUAGGCAUUAAUUUUUGAAAAAAUGUAAUUAAUUUGAAAAAUUAUAUAAAUUCAGGGGAUAUAAUAAUUGUGAUUGUGUGAAUUUAUAUGGUAAGUUAGAUGUAAUUUAGGUACAUUAACAAAUAUCCACCUAGAUGGGAACCUUCACAAAAAUCCCAAGGCAUUGUUGUUUUGAGAGAAGGGCAGGGAAAGGAAAGCAAACGGAAAUGGAGGGAUAAAGUUUUUAAAUUUUGGAUUAGUUUUUGAGGAGAGAAAGAAAAGGAUUUGGAGGGAAAGGGAGGGAUAAAAUUAGUUAUUUUUUAUCAACCUGUUUCAUGUCCAAAUGUGGGCAAAACAAAGGGAAACGACACCAAAUUAAUGAAAAUUUCAAAAUGUUCUAAAAACCUAUCAUGUAUUUAUAAAUUAAAUUUUAAAUUAUGGAAAAAAAUAUAAUUGAUGCAUGAUAGUUUUCUUUCCUUUCCUCUCGUAAUCCAAACAAAAUAGACAGACUUAGAUUUCUUCUACUCCCCUUUCUUUUCUUUUCCACUAGAGUCUUCUCCUUUCCUUUCCUUUCUUUCAAUCCAAACGGUGCCUAAAAGAAAAUACAAGAUGGUGCGACUAAAAGUUCAUACCAUUCCUAUGGACUGUCAAUUGCAUCAAAACACGAACUUUGUCUAUAUAAUGUGCACACUUUGUGACUGAUUUCUGUCGAGUGCUUAGCCCAUGAUUGUUAGUGUUGCUUGUUGGAUAGUUUACUCUCAGUAAAAUACUUUGAGAUUUUAGGCCAUAGUAUAUACUUAUGGCUUAUAAGGUGCAUUACUAAGACAAAAAAUACCAAUCAGCAACAACGGUAAUAUUGGGUUUAAAUGAUACAAUACACUAGGAUAAUGUGCAUUUUACCGACUUCAUGAAUGUGAAGAACUAAAUAUUAUGUAUUAAUUAUUUGUUUUUUUUUCCGGAUAUAUUUGGCUUCAAUUAGCGCUCAAACUCGAGAUCUCACAAGUAGACAAAGAAACCAUAUUUUUUAGGUAUGGUUUCUCUUUAUUGCUAGAGUUGGUAUCAAAUGUACUUAGGAGACUGAGAUACCUUAAACAACCUUAAGCCAGGGCUAUGAGCUAUAAAACAAGAAGAGGAUGAACUACUAGAAGAAGAAUAUGGGCAUAGUAGGGCUGUCAAAUAAAUUGAGUUGCUCGCAAAUAGUUUGAGUCAAAACUCGAUUCAAGUUAGGUCAACAUCGAACUCGAAUCGAGUUCGAGUUAACUGAGUUGAACUUGAGAUCAAAGAUACUUAACUCGUUAGUUCGCAAAUCGACUCGAUUUUAUAUAUUUAUAUUUAUAUUUUUUAUUUUAAUAGUAAAAUUACAUAUAUCCUUAAUAUUUUAUUAUUUGUUAAGAAACAUUACUAUUUUAUUCAUUUUUAAAAAUAUAAAAUAAUUAUUUUUUAUUUUUUUAAACUCAAGCUUGAGCCCUACAAUAAGAACUCGUUGAUUUUGAGUAGGGGUGGCAAUUCGGGUCCAAAUCAGGUUGGCGGGUCGGGUUCGGGUCAACCCGCCAGAAAAUCUGUUGACCCGAACCCGACCCGCCAAACCGUAACGGGUCAGGUAUGCUGACCCGAACCCGAAAAUUUCAGGUUGACGGGUUGACCCGAAAUGACCCGAAACUUAAUUUUAAUUUAUUAAUUUAUCACUGUAAUUUCUAAUAAAAUCAAUUUCUCACAAAACUAAUUACAUAAUCAAGUAAUAAAAAUUUAAAUAAGUAAUUUCAAACCAAAUCUAAAAUAAAUUAAACACCGUAAAAGUGUUUUAUCCCAAACAAAAUAUAAAAUAAAUUAAAACAGUAUAAAAGUAAAAAAUAAUAUAAUAUAUUAUUUGUCCAAAUAUAAUAAUUUCAACUUCACACAAAUUAAAUAAAGUCAUUUAUGAUUAAGUAAUUAAUGCCUUUGAAAAAAAGAAUAACUUAGGUUAGUUAGAUAAAAUUAUAUUUAUAUUUAUUAAAUUAUUUUUAAUUUGUAAACGGGUCAUAUCGGGUCAUAUCGGGUCACCACGGGUUGACCCGAAAUCGACCUGUUUUCUUUUCGGAUUCAUCGGGUCCAACCCGAUUCUGACCCGAAUUCCCAAAACCUCAACCCAAACCCAUUAAUUUCGUGUUAGGUUCGUGUCGUGUUUUCAGGUCGUGUCGAAAAUUGCCACCCCUAAUUUUGAGUUUGAUAAAAUUAAAUCAAAACUCAACUCAAUUAAACAAAAAUUUGACUUGACUCAACUCGUUUACAAACCUAGAUAUAGAGUUACAAUAGUGACAGGUUGUCGAUGCCUGUGCAAUAAUAAAACCUGCUCAAACUAAAAGUAAUUUCUGUAGAUAACGGUAAGCAGGGUCGAAUCCACAGGGACUGGGAGUAAUUGUUCCUUUUCAAAUUCACAGUGACAAAGGGGAGUGUUUUUAUAUCAGGGGUGACAACUCAACUAAAAGUAAAAUAAUAAAAAUAAAAUAGCCAACUAGAAAUUAAAAAAACACAAUUUACUAAAAUCAAAGGAUCUAGCCAAGGAAUAACUUCAGCAAUGGUUCACCUAAUUGAUCAUUGAUAAGCAAAGGCAAUUCCAAUUAUUUACUAAUAAAUAGGUUAUAACUGCCAAACAAGCGAUGGCAGUCAGCCCCUCCUUACUGUGUCGGUGAUCAAGGUACGCUCGUUAAUCACUUCUUUAAUUGGAAGAACAAUCCUAGGUACGCCCAUAAGAUUUAAUUUCCCAAUUGCCUUACGUAUUAGAGGAGCCCUAUUCUAAUCAAAUAACGCACUACCAGGGUUAUUUCAGAUUAGCCCGCGUAUCCCCCUGACACGAAUCUAAUCGUGCCAGUUGUCACUAUUUCAAGACAAUUAAACAAUUACGAAUUUAAUGUCCUAAUUGACAGUAGAUUAUCCAAUCAAUUAACCAUCCGGAUCCAAGACAAUCAACUAAUUAAAUGACCAUAAGCAUAGCAAUCAAGGAAUAUGCGAAUACUAAUAAAUAAAAGAAAAAAAUUAAAUUAAAUCGAUCUUACAAUUUGUAGGCGAGCCAGAGCCUUCGUUAUUUCUUGACUAGAAUGAGGAAAUUAGUUCAUAUUUGAUGAACUGAGUCCACACAACAUUGAAGAGAAGCCAGCGGCCAUGGUCCGUUGAAAUUUAGCAGAAUCCAACUCGUCUCAAUAUAUUGAAUGAAUAGAAAAGCUACAAAAGUUCAUAGUUUUCACUCCGUCUGGCGCACAACAAUGAAGAAAAGACUACUAAAAGCAACUAAGGAAGAAAAGUCCAAGCCAUGAAUGGCUAAACUCCUGACAUUCGUAAGUCCCAAGAGCUACUAAGAAGCCAAAGAAAAGUCAAAGGCAGCAAGUCUUCAUUGUUCCUGCCAUGCGUUUCCGUUCUUUGGUCAAAAGUCUAAAAAGGAAGAAGAAAUCUAAUUCUAAGCUAGAAGCUGCUGCCCCUUCUUCUGCACCAUUUUCUCUUAUAUCCUCCUGUUCCGUGCGGCGGCUCCAGGGAGAAGAACACUUUUGGCACAAUGACCGAAAAGGGCUCAUGUCCCUACUUCCCAAAAAUGCCCUUUCGAGCCUUCUAUUUAAUUAAUUUCCCGAUGAUUGUCAAAUUGGCCUUAAUUGUAGUAUUUUCAUUCUACUCCCUGAAAUAAAUGUAAAUUACGAAAAGUGAGUAGAAUCCAAUAAUUAAUUCACAUCGGGUCAGGUAAUAGAAAAAAUUAAUAAUAAAAUAAAUGAUAAAAUUGCACCCUAUCAAAUAGCUCUAUGAAUUACCGUAAGACAUAGAGAAUAGAGAGAUUGGUACAUAUCCUCUUAAUAGUUAAUUCCCCUCGAGGCAACUCUGGUAUGAUUGAGCUAAAGCUCAUUGUGCCUAGCAAAGGGGGUGUAAGUACAAUGUUUUACUCUUUUUUCCCCUUUUUUUUUUUCUUUUCUUCAAAAGAGGAUUAAUACUGGUUCAAUUUACAUGGGUUCAAAUACAAUGUUUUACUUGUUCAAAUGGUUCUGCAAAAUUUAUUUUUCAAAACCAAUUAUGGCAAUCCAAGCUUUACUAGUUUUGGGCCCUAGAUUCAUUUUUCUCAGUUACGUAGACCACUGAACAGAACUCUUUUUUUUUCCCUAUUAUUUCAUUUUUCUUUUGUGUGAAAUUUUGACCACGAAAUAUAACUAGAAGCAUCUGGACCUGUCCAUAUUAAACACAUCUAUAGGAUGGAUUACUGAAUAAAAACGAGCUUACGUAUUUUGCUAAUGUGCCUUCUCUACAAAGUGGCACAAUUCAAAGGAAUUCUUACGCAGGUAGACAAACUAAAUUAAAAAAGAAAAAUUGAAAAGGGAGAUAUACCACCUUUUUAUUAAUUUUUUUAAUUUGGUAAGUCUUUUCUUUUUGAAAGGUUAGUUUGGUAAAUCAACUCAAGUAAUGAAGUAACAAAAGUAUAAGCUUUAGGGGUUAUAUAUUGAAAUCAGCAAAUUUACUGAAGAAAAAUAGGUCCUUGUGAGUACGAAGCAACCACUUGCUUCAGAAUCACAAUAAAAUCACAAAUAUUCAUUACUCACAAAUAAUAUUUAUUUCUGUUGUUCAACCUUUACAAACAUUGCUUGUGAAACUAACAAGCAUUAGCUUUAUAAUGACAUAGCACUUAAUAGCACACAUUUAUUCGUGCAUCCAUUUUAGAAGACACCAUAGCAACUUCAAACACGCUAAAUACUUAGAAGAUAUGUCUCUCUCUCUCUCUCUCUCUCUCUCUCUCUCUCUCUCUCUAUAUAUAUAUAUAUAUAGAUGGUUCAAGCAUUUUUGAUGUGAUGAGAUUCAAUGUCUUCAACCAUGUGAAGGAAAAAGUUGAGCAAGGUUCCUGGAUGUGGGGUAUCUUCCUUCAGCUUCUCAUAGUCGAGAGUCCAUGUAAUCAAACUUUCUUUGUCACCAAGAACAUCAACAUGGUAUAUGAUAGUGAAGGUCUUGUACAGCUCCAUGAGAUCUCCUUCAAUCAUCUUAAAUACGAUUGAUUUCUUUUCUUCAUUUAUGUCUUGAAUAAUCUGCUUUGCCACCCUAUCUUUCCCGUCUGUAAAAAUGAAAAGUAAAUCAAUUACAGACUCUCCAAUUCCUAGUCAACAUGCUGGUAAUCCAAAAACAAGGUUUGCGGAAUUCUUUCUUUUCGGUUUUUAGGGAUAGACAAUACUAUUCACACAACCAGGGAAGAAUUCUCGUUGUGAAACAUCUGGUAUAUCGCAUAAAAAACUUGAGAAAAGCAAAAGAAAAAAAAUUCUGUAGUAUUAAUUAAUUGAAUUCUUUACGAAGAUGGACUUCCUUAAUUAACCUCUGUAGUUUCCACAAUCAGAUUAUUGUCUUCGUAUAAAUACUAAUAAUAAUAUUAAUAAUACGGUUAAUAGUAAUAGAUCUAGUCCGUUUUUCAUUAAAACUUUUCCCGAGGCAGAUAUUAAGCUUUUAUCCUUUCUUUUUCCUGGCAAAUAAGUUAGAUAACUAAUUGUGUGCCAGUUCAAAGCAGGGAAAAACGGAUGGAGAGAGUUUAAAUCAACUUAGUCCAGAAGCUGACCAACACGCAACAAAAGCUAAAUGAAUAAAGGAAAAACAAGAAAAACUGCGGGGAAGAAAGAGCUUUGAAUAUUGAUUCCAUACCAUGGGUAUAAUGCCAGCAGAUUUUGGAUCCAACAGUUCCAAGAUCACCACCAAGCAAAGUAAACCCUUGAACUUUCUCAGGAGUCAUGGUGGCAAGAUGGUGUGGUCUUUUGCUGAAGACAUCAUGGAACACAUCUCCAGCAGGGCCAUGGAUGUUAGUUUGACCAAUCAUUUUACCUUUGAGCCCCAUUUUUUUUUCUGAGAAACUGAGAAGGAAAUGACCAAAUACUGCUGCAGCAAAAAAAUGCAAAGAAAUAUUGAAGGAAGUCUCAGUUGUGGUCUGCUAGACUAUCCCUCUGCUCCUUAUAUAGUAUAGAACUGAUGGGUGACUUCACCCCCCACCUCCACCCCCACCCUUUCUUUUUUUUAAUUGGGGUCUAUAAACCACGUAAGAGGAACCAAUUAUCUUCGCCGAAACUAUCAUUUUUUUCCCUAGUUCUGACAUUGUUAGAAACUUCUUUUUUUUUUUUUUAAUUCAUGAGAUGUUGUAUUGGUACAUCAGCCCUAAUAAAUGAUACUCAGCAUCCAUUAAAAUGUGAUUAUCCUCAUUUUCUAUUAAUCUAUAAUCAUAUUACAUCUAUAGUUUUGCACUUAGGGUCAACAGACUCGACAUCAUUCAUUUUUUUAAUGCCUACAACUAAGGUUUUCUUGUGGGCAACUUAAAUUUUAUUUUAAUCGAUAUCUCUUAGUCUCAUUUUUGCUUUACGACAAGAAUACUUCACCAACAUUGGAUAGAAUGAAGGCCAUCCUUGACAAAUUAUUUUGGAGAGAUCUACUUCUCUUGUCCAUGGCAAAAACGACUCUCCAGUAAUGACUCUUAGAAGUUGGUUAACACAAUAAAUGAUAUGAAUUCAUGAGUUUGGGAUAGUUGGCAAGUAGGUUGCUAAUGUCAAUAGGAGAUCGCAAGUUCGACUCCUGCACGUGGCGUCUUGAAAAACUCUAGUAAGAUGCUCAUCUCCGAAUAAAAGUUAGACUUUACGGAUGCUCCUUGGAUCGAAUCCGGAUUAGUCUCACGAAGAGUGGGAAUAUUGGGUGCUUAAAGCAAAAUAAAUAAAUAAAUAAAUGAUAUCCUCUUCUUACAUGGUUUGUGGUAGGUGAUAACUGAGGCAUACUAUUACCAAAUGGGAAAUAAACUGAUGCCAUACCACUUCACAUGAUUCACACAACACAUAAAAUUUCUUAAUUGUUUCCGGCACUUGGGCCAUAUUUCAUGGGUUGGUCAACUUGGGAUCCUUAUCAAAGAUUAAUUGGCAGACAAGUUAAGGUCUUAUUUGGAUUACAGUUAUCUUAAGAAUUUUUUUUACAUUUUGUGUGAACACAUUUAUGAAUCAUAUUUUUAUUUCAUAUAUAUCAAAUUAUUGCAACAUAUUUUUUUUUUUACAAAAACUUUUAAAAAUAGUAGUCCGAUUGGGUUCUUACCUAUUUAAGACUUCGAUGUUUCGCUACCAAAAAAAAAAAUACAAUUAAAAACUCGUCUUAUGUGGAUGCGGGGCACUGGUGAGUGAAGCAAGACCAACGCCGUGGUGUAAUAUGGGACAUUGACUUCAAAAUUUGGAAUUCAACUAUCGAACAUCAAAUUAAGCUCAUCCGGUCCAAUCAUUGUAAAUUGGAUGAUUGUUUUGGUUCAACCGCACCAACACUUAACCCAUUUUAUGUGCGCUGAGGAUGGCCCUCCCGACUCGGCCAUAUCGAGCUCAACCCUUUGUUAUUUGGGAUGGGUCGCCACAAGUCUUGGUUAUCUCGGCUAGACAUCGCAUACGGAUAAUUGAGGUGACUCCCACAUUCAUUGGUACCUCGGAUUGGUGCUGUGCUUGACACGACAUCCAAAGUCUUAUCAGAGAACUUGAUACUUGCAUGGCGGACAAGACAUCUGAUGGGACCUGUCUACUGCUCCAUCUUGUCAAAUCAGACUGGACAUGCUUAGUCCCUGCCAGGUCCUAGGAAGUUGAAACCCACUAUUCCUUCCUCCCACUUAUCCCUUAUAAAUACUACUCCUUCUACUUCAGGGGGAGGAGAAAAAAAAGAGUAAGGACUCUUCUAUUUCCAUUCCAUUAUUAACUUUCCAAGAAAACUAACUUAAUCAUCGAAGGUAUCCCGGGGGAAAAAGCCCCGCCUAGUGUGUGUAUCAGGAAAAGAACACCACCAAAUCACCUCAAUCAGGAAGAGGAGGCAUCUGGUCAGCUCGGCUUGAUCAUCCAGGAACAGUGUCUUCAUGUAUAUAUCAACUUUCUUUUCAUAGGAUGAAGACAAGUUUGCAGUAAAUACCAAAUACCCACCAGCUACACCUCACAUCACCCGUUUUAUGUAAAUGAACUUUCUUUUUUUUUAAUGGAAUGAAAAUAAUUCGGGAAUAAGUUUGCAGUAAAUACCAAAUACCCACCAACUGCACCUCGCAUCACCCCGUUUUAUGUAUAUCAACUUUUUUUUUUAAUGGAAUGGAAAUAAUUCAGGAAUAUGUAUUAGUUUUCUUACGAGUUUCAAUUGGAUACUCCUUAAGACAUCUAAAGUACACUAAAAUUAUCAUGUGAAAAUACAUAUUAACAUUUAUUAUACCUCCUAAAUUGCAACAUUUUUUUUUUUGAAUUAGUUAUACUUUUUAAAAAAAAAAACUAAUAUCUAGUACUUUUUUAACAAGUGGCCAAUAGACACUCGUCAAUCAAACCGUAGAAUUAGAUACCCAAAUCUUUUAACCCAAAAAAAGGUCCAAUUCAGUCGGGGGGCCAAACUAGGGAUGUAAGCGAGGCUACUCGUGAGUAGCUUGGUCAAUGGCUUGGUUUAAACUCGAUUAAACCGAGUUCGACCAGAGUCUCAAGCUACUCGAGUACACAUUCAAGUCGAGUUUGAGUCAGAAUUUUGCAACUCGUGGCUCGACGACUCGUCGAGCCAUAUAAUUUAAAUAAUAUAUAUAAUUUAAAUAAUAUAUGUAUUAUAAUUAUAAAAUGACAGUUAUGGGUAUAAUUUAUAUCGAAUUUACAAGUAAGGUAUCAAGUCAAAAAGCUUGAUUACUCGACUCGAUAAGGCUUGACUAAAGGUCGAGCCUUAUCGAGUCGAGUCUCGAGCUUUUAAAGAUUUUCUCGAGUCAAGCUCAAGUUUGAGAUUUUUCGACACAAUCGACUUCGAGUCGAGCUCGAGCCAAGUUAUUUAUAGGUCGAGUCGAGCUCGAGUAUAGCAAUACUCGAGCUCGACUCGGCUCGAUUACAUACCUAGGCCAAACAAGCUAUAUGUCACUCAUGUCUGGGGGGUUAUAUUCUCAGAAGUGAUUUUCAAGAUAUAGGCAGAGUAGUGGACUGUAUUAAAUUGGGACAUCGUAAUUCGUAAUUUUUAUCACAGCAAUCUUACUUGAAAUACAGGAAUUAAUGAAAGUUAGGUGCAGUGGACAUUAUUUAAUGUAUUUAAUAAACUAAUAGAGGCCCCUUUGAUUCUUGACUCAAUUCUUGACUAAUGGAUGCAAAGAAACAAGUCCCCAUAAGAGUUAGGAUAAAGUUCGGUACUAAAAAAAACUUUGUAGGAAAUUAAACCAAGCUAUUUUAGUAUUAGUCUCGUAAUUCUUUUUGUUGUCUUAUUUGUCUAGUUUUCAUAUUAAAUUAGGAAAUCUCAAUCAGUUUCCAAGUAAGUUUUGAUUUACAACUGUAUUUGUUUUAGGAAAUUUUGGAGUUUAUAAAUACUAACAGCUUAGUAAGUAAUUAUUUGAAGUGUUGAGUUGAGUUUUAAGAGUAGGUUUGAGAGAAAAUCUCAUAGUUGAGAUUUGUGAGUUGUUAUGAGCGAAAAGCUACGACUUGAUAUUUAUUAUUGUUGGGUUUUGAAUUAAAUAAAUUAUUGACUAUUUGUUUUCUUCCUCUUCCCACAUAUUUUUAUAUGUGUCAAAAUUGCUUCCGCUGUGCGCGAGGAUUUUUGGUGUGCUAACAAGUGGUACCAGAGCUUUAGACUUUGAUCCUAGGGCUUGUCCGCAAAAUUGGGGCUUAGAGCUUGUUCAUGAAAUUAAAGUAUGGAUCCCCAUUAUUUACAACAUUGUCUAGCUUUUAUCUUUGAUGGUAAAAAUAAUUUUGAGACUUGGAGGUCGAUGAUGAAGGAUUUUUUCAAAGAUAUUGGAAUUUGGAAUAUUAUCCAAAAGGGAUUCACGGAAUCUAUAACAGGUACAAAGUUAUCAAGUGAUGCAGUUAAACAAUUAGAGAGGAAUAAACAAUUAAAUUACAAGACAUUUUACUAUCUCAGUACCCAAAUCCAGUUACAAGUAGUGAAAAAUUCAUACAUGUAAAGACAGCUAAGGAGGCUUGGAAAUUUUUAAUAAAAUUUUAUGGCCAUAGUGGAGAAGAAAUUUGUGAUGAAGAAGAAAAAGAAUAUUUUGAUGAGACAAAGAAAGAAAAAAUUGUAGAAAUUGUGAGUGCACAUGAAGAUGAAAAAUUUGUGAUUCAAGAAGAAAUCUCAUGUGUGGUUGAGAAAAAAGGUGAAGUCAGUGAUGAAGUUAAAGAUGUGCCUCAAGAUCAUAGCAACGUAGAAACUGUAAAUUUUGUCGAGAUUGAUGAAAUUUUUGAAGAGAAAAAUCAAGUGAUGGACUUGGUUGAGAUCAAUUGUGAGGUGCACAAAUUAAUUGAAAAUUGUGAUACUACUAAAGUUGAUGCAAUUAUUAGUGUGAAACAAAAUAAAGGAAAAACAUGGUGAUGUUAAAAACAUUGAUAGCAACAACUAUGAUUUUCUGAUUUUGGGAGAUUUUCUUGGUGACAUGAAUGAAUUAAAUUAUGGAGUAUCUAAUGGAGUAUGGGUGAGUAUGAUUGAAUUUUUUUGAUAAGAGUGAUCAAACGAAGAAACUGUUUGAGAAGUACAAGUUUCAUCCACUAUUGCACGUGAAAAUGAAGUUGGACAUCAAUUGCAAAUUGGUGUUCCACAUCAUCUAUUCAGCGACGGAGUUUUUCAUGGAGAUUCAAGCUUAUGAUGGCAUUGGAAAUGACAACAUUAAGAGCUUGGUUUAAGGGAGGCAAUGUAGGAAAUUAAACCAAGCUAUUUUAGCAUUAUUCUCCUAAUUCUUUUUGGUGUCUUGUUUGUCUAGUUUCCAUAUUAGAUUAGGAAAUUUCAAUCAGUUUCCAAGCAAGUUUUGGUUUACAACUGUAUUUGUUUUAGGAAAUUUUGGAGUCUAUAAAUACUAACAGUUUAGUAGGUUAUUAUUUGAAGAGUUAAGUUGAGUUUUAAGAGUAGGUUUGAGAGAAAAUCUCAUAGUUGAGAUUUGUGAGCAAAAAGCUACGACUUGAUAUUUAUUAUUGUUGAAUUUUGAAUUAAAUAAAUUAUUGAGUAUUUGUUCUCCUGCUUUUCCCACAUAUUUUUAUAUGUGUCAAAAUUGCUUCCGCAGUGCAUGCGUUUUUUUGUGUGCUAACAAACUUCGAUAAAGCAUUGACUGGCUUUAGAAUACAAUUGCGCUACAUCACAAAAUGGAACAUAAAUAUAGAUGAGGCAUUUAAAAUUUAUGUCAUGUUAAAUAUUGGAGUAUUUCCCACUUUUUCUGCUAAUAGACGUGUCCCUGUUUGGAGAUUUGUCUAGCAAUGAAGGUUGUCAAGAUUUUUUUAUAUAUUUUUUUGGGGGUGGUCCUAGUUGGGUCACCGUCUGAGAUUUUCUUGGCCUGAAGAAAUCAAAUAUUGAUACCAUUAAGCCCAGAAGAUAUUUUUUUUCAAUUAAAAAGAUGCAACUUUGGUUGGUUUUCAAUGCAUUUUUCAUAAAUCUGCAAGCUAACUGAGUGUCCUGGGCAAAAAUUAAUUGGUCACCAAGUUUUAGCAUUCUUAUGACUUUAAUGUUUUCUGUGAUUUUGGAACCAGGUAACCAUACCAUCUUUCUGAACUUUUCUUUACCAAAAAAAAAAAAAAAAAAUUAUAGCAGGACAAAAUUAAUAGGAGUUCGUGUUAUUUGAAAAAAUCUAGUUUUAUGUGGAUCCGAGGGACCGGUGGGUGAAAGAUCAAUAUCUUGAAAUCAAUAUUGACUUCAAUGUCUUGAAAUCAAACAUGUAACAUCAAAUUUCCGUCAAUGUAACAUCAAAUAGGAGUUCGUGUAAUAUUUAUUUCUUUAACAUCUAUUACUCUGACUAUAAAAUAAAUUUUUAUACUUACUGUUGCGUAAUAAUUUGUUAUUGAAUCAUGAGAAAAUGAGUUUAAAACGAUUACCUAUUACCUAACAUUUCACUUCUAUUUAAAGACGAAAGACAAUAACAGUAAUAAUCAAUAAAAAAUAUUACAUUAUUGGGAAUAAUAUUUAAAAAAACAAUGGAAAUGCAAAUGUUUAAAGAAUAAAUAGUACCGGAAUUUCUAAUUUGAUGUGAAUGACAUUUUAAUCGCUGUAGUUGGGAUUUUGUCCUUCGAAUUUGAUGUGAGAUUUCUCUUUCGUCAACGCAAAGUUGAUGAAACUUUUCGAAUUGCAGUGUGGAAUCGUUGCAGUGUACGUUUCGUUUUUCGCAAUCUUGCGAGUUUAAAAUUUAAUUGUCGUUGAAAUGCUUGUAGGCGGGCAUGCUCCAUAGUGAAAUUAGGUUAAGGGCUAAGAUGGAUACCAUAAAAAAGUUGAAGGAGAUAAUAAGUUUUUGGAAAAAACGCAAAAAAGUUUUCUUAAUUGGAGUGAGCACGCAAGAAAGUUGAAUGAGGAUACUAUAUUUUGGAAGAAUUUUAAUUAGAGUGGAAUUCUUAAAUUGGAGGACUCUUAAGUGGAGUGGGAAAGUAGGAGAAAUGUAGGGAAAAUGUGAGCAUGAUGAUAGAAUUUUUAGGAGAUGAUUAGUUAAGAGAUAAACAUUUCUUAAAUUAGAGGACUCUUAAUUGGAGUGAGAAAUGUGGGGGAAAUGUGAGCAUGAUAUAGGAUUUGUAUUAUACUGAAUAACUUGAUAGUAUACUCAAAUCACCGAUGAGGUAAAAUUUGCCUAAAUAAGUUUUACAGUGUCCUAAUUCCUUGAAAAAAAAAUUGCUAAAUAGUCCUAAUUGGCACUACAAGUUACGGCAACGUGCCAGUGGCAUCUAGUCCUAAUUUUUUUUGGGGUCAAAAUCUAGUCCUAAUUGGUUCUGUUGUUUCUUGAUCAUGUUGUAUGCUCCUAAAUUCUACUUAGCGUGUAAUAAUUGAUAAUGGCUUAUUCUAUUCUUUCAUGGUAUUGGACAGGUGAAAAUCACACUAGAAGUGUGGUAAAUUUACUAUAAACUCCUAAUAUUAUCUCCCCUAAUUUUUGUAUAUUUUUUUAAAAAUUUAAACUUUUGUCAACAAUAGGCUGGUCAUGCAAAUAAAAAAAGGGAAUAGUCACACAUCUCAUUCUUUGCCCUAAAGAACUCAAUUUAGCAAAUUUCUUAGAAUAAUGGUGAAAAAAAUCACAACAAUGGAGGAACCUGGGUUUGUUUCCUUCUUUUUUCUUUUGGAUUUGAAACAGCCCUAUUCAGUUAUAAAAAAUAAAUAAAUUAGCCAUCUUACGUUCAUUAAGAAAGGGAAAAUUUUUUGGUCGCUGCACAUGGAUGUCCGGCCAUCCUAAAGGGAAAAAAAAACAAUUGUUCCAUUCUUGCGAUUUUUUUUAGGGUCUUAACUUUACAUUUAGUUGCACAUUUGUGAUUUUUUUGAAACGUGAUUGUAAUUUGUAAAGGUCAUUUGUAAGAGUGGCUAUAGGAUUAGUUUAGUGAUAAAUAUUUCUUAAUUAUAAAAAUGUAAAAUUGUAUUAAAAUAGCAUACGAAUGAACAUUUGUCUUUAAUUAAGGAGAAAAAAAGAUUUAAAGUAUAAAUAACAAACUAUAAACGGUUUAUAAAGUAGAUAGCGGGAAAGUUUGAAAUUUUAAAUUUGACUGGUGAUAAGGUUAGUCAUAACCCACUAUUUUUUAUGUAUUAAAAUAAAUACAAAAAUCUAGAAAAAAGAAUAAGAAGUUGGAAGCUAUUGAGAGUCUCUCUCCUAAAAAUCCACUCUGCAAUACAUAUAGAUAUAGAUUUUCCUAUCAUUCUGCUAAUAAACUUGUCCCUAUCUAAACCUAGAGAAAUGUUCACCAAGUCCUACUUGGGUGACACAGAUUUUUCUUGGCUAGUAGAAAUAGACAUUGAUAAUUUGAGAGGUUAAAUGAAAAGUGUGAAUAUCAAUUUCCAAUAUAAGGGUAUUUUCCUAUCUUUCUACUAAUAGACUUGUCCUUAUCUAAACCUAGAGAUAUGUCCACCAAGUCUGUCUUAGGUCAGAGUCUGAGAUUUUCUCGGUUAGCAGAUAUCGAUGUUGAUAGUUUGAUAACAUUAAGUCCAAAAGAUUAGCUGGGCUUGGCUCUGAUCACUAUUUACGGCAUGUGGUGAUUCAUGAUCCGUGGUCGCAAUCAAAGUCAAACCCAUCUAAAUUGUUUAUUAUAAAAAAAUUAUUAAUUACAAAAGAUUUUUUUUUUUUUUAAUAAAGGAUGCAUUCUUUGGUUGGUUUUCAAUGGAUUUUACGUAAAUCUGCAGGCUAAUUGAGGUCCCUACCAAAUAAAUGGAAAGAAAAUAGUCCGUACCAUGUUAUGUUAAUUUCCAUGGCUUGGAGGGGUAGUUUUGACACCCACUCUACACAUGAUUCAUGGCUUAAUUAAUUUGAGUUUACAGAUAUCCACUCAAAUCAAUUUGAUAUGACAGGAGUAGGGCUGGCAACCCCGUUGUCAAAUAACUCCCCCCGUCCCCCGUCCCCCGCCCCAUCCCCUGUCCCUUGCCCCCAUCCCUCACCCCGUUUCCCCCGCGGUCCCCCGUGAGUAAAGAAAUCAAUUUACAAAAAGUAAAACUCUUCUCAUAUAUCCAAGCAUUUUUGAGAACUAACAGGAGAGAGGAAGAAUUCCCAAACACUAACCAAAAAUACCAAGAACAGUUAAAAUCCAGAAAUAACAAAAGGCAAAGAUCAAUGGAAAACAUAAAAAAAAAAAUCAGCAAAAUGAAGGGAAAAACAAACCCAUGGUUGUUGAAACUGCUUAUAAACGAUAUCAUAGGUCAUGGAAAGAAUUCUUGUUCCAUUAGACUCUCGUAUUUACAUUUUCAUUGAGGCUUUUAGACAAACAUCUUAUAUAUAUAUAUAUAUAUAUAUAUAUAUAUAUAUAUAUAUAUAUAUAUAUAUUUUAUGCGGGGGACGGGGCGGGUGUACGUUGCCCCCAUCCCACGCCCCGUUUUAAGGCGGGGGUAAAUAUUUCGCCCCCACCCCGCCCCCACCCCAUUUCUACCCCGCGGGGUGGGCACCCGCCCCCAUUGCCAUCCCUAGAUAGGAGACAAAUGAUGUAUCACUUGAUUUUUUUUUUGUGUAUAUAUCAUAUCUUGAUUUUUUUAUGUGUAUAUGUCAUAUCACGAUGCUAUUGCAAAUUUUUGUUUAAAAAUUACUUGCAUAUACAAAUUCAUCCGUGACGUGCAUUUGGAUUAGUCUAUGAGGAUAUGGAUCCAAUUAGACCGACAGUUUCCUUUUCUUUUUUUUUUGUCCAAUCAAUGUUGUAGCGUCUCAAUCCCUAGGGUUCUUAGUGAUAAAUCAAAUUGACAAAUUAUUAAUGUAACACAUCACUAAAGUUGUGCAAGUUGUAACCAAACCAUUUAAUAUUCUCAGACUGGCAACAUCAACUGGUUAAACUUUUAAUUCAUCUUCUUGCUAGGAGACAAAUUUUGCUUUUCUUCUACAAUUCUAAUAGAAAUUUAAUUUAAUUUAUCCACUAUAGAUAGUCAUACAAACUGAGCUAACAAUAAAAAAAGGAAAAUACUGCAGAAUGUACCAUCUAAAACCACAGAGAUAAAGAGAUUCCGCAGCUCAGUCACAACAUUGCACUUUUACCAUGUUAUUGUAUAAUUUUAAGAAUUAGUGUUUUAUACACCAUUAGCGUAAAGUUUUUUUUUUUUACAUUAAGAGGUACAGAUAUAUGAUACAUAGACAAAACGUGAAUUUAAAGUUUGAAUAGUGAUGAAGUGGCAUUCAUCUAAAAUAAACCUACUUGUGUAAAAGAAAAAAAAACUUUACACUAAUUGUGUAUAAAAAUUGGUAGCAGCAACUAUGAUUUUCUGAUUUUGGGGGAUUUUCUUGGUGACAUGAAUGAAUUAAAUUAUGGAGUAUCUAAUGUAGUAUGGGUGAGUAUGAUUGAAUUUUUUGAUAAGUGUGAUCAAAUGAAGAAACUGUUUGAGAAGUACAAGUUUCAUCCACUACUGCACCUGAAGAUGAAAUUGGACAUCAAUUGCAAGUUGGAGUUCCAUAUCAUCUAUACAGUGACGGAGUUUUUCAUGGAGAUUCAAGUUCAUGAUGGCAUUGGAGAUGACAACAUUAAGAGCUUGAUUUAAGGGAGGCAAUGUAGGAAAUUAAACCAAGCUAUUUUAGCAUAUUAUUCUCCUAAUUCUUUUUGGUGUCUUGUUUGUCUAGUUUCCAUAUUAUAUUAGGAAAUUUCAAUCAGUUUCCAAGCAAGUUUUGGUUUACAACUGUAUUUGUUUUAGGAAAUUUUGGAGUCUAUAAAUACUAACAGUUUAGUAGGUUAUUAUUUGAAGAGUUGAGUUAAGUUUUAAGAGUAGGUUUAAGAGAAAAUCUCAUAGUUGAGAUUUGUGAGCGAAAAGCUACGACAUGAUAUUUAUUAUUGUUGGAUUUUGAAUUAAAUAAAUUAUUGAGUAUUUGUUCUCCUGCUUUUCCCACAUAUUUUUAUAUGUGUCAAAAUUGCUUCCGCUGUGCAUGCGAUUUUUUGUGUGCUAACAAACUUCGAUAAAGCAUUGACUGGCUUUAGAAUACAAUUGCGCUACAUCACAAAAUGGAACAUAAAUAUAGAUGAGGCAUUUAAAAUUUAUGUCAUGUUAAAUAUUGGAGUAUUUCCCACUUUUUCUGCUAAUAGACGUGUCCCUGUUUGGAGAUUUGUCUAGCAAUGAAGGUUGUCAAGAUUUUUUUAUAUAUAUAUUUGGGGGUGGUCCUAGUUGGGUCACCGUCUGAGAUUUUCUUGGCCAGAAGAAAUCAAAUAUUGAUACCAUUAAGCCCAGAAGAUAUUCUUUUCAAUUAAAAAGAUGCAACUUUGGUUGGUUUUCAAUGCAUUUUUCAUAAAUCUGCAAGCUAACUGAGUGUCCUGGGCAAAAAUUAAUUGGUCGCCAAGUUUUAGCAUUCUUAAGACUUUAAUGUUUUCUGUGAUUCUGGAACCAGGUAACCAUACCAUCUUUCUGAACUUUUCUUUACCAAAAAAAAAAAAAAAAAUUUAUAGCAGGACAAAAUUAAUAGGAGUUCGGGUUAUUUGAAAAAAUCCUAGUUUUAUGUGGAUCUGAGGGACCGGUGGGUGAAAGAUCAAUAUCUUGAAAUCAAUAUUGACUUCAAUGUCUUGAAAUCAAACAUGUAACAUCAAAUUUCCUCCUAUGGAGAGGUUGUUUAGGGGGAGUUUCUUCUCUCCUAGAGAUUUUUAGUGAGAGUUUUUUCUCUCCUAAAAAUUUCUGGUGAGAGAUUUUGUGGUUAGUCUACCUCUUAUAUUAGAUAUAAGUUUUUUUUUUUAGAUUUGAUUGUCAGAUCUAAGAUUUCUUAGAUCUACCCUAUCAAAUCUCACUUUAACAUAUGAAUUUAAAUAAGUUCAUUAGCAGAUUUAAAAGGAAGCAAUUAGUAGUAUAGUUGGAAGCAUACACGGAUGAUCUUAAGAUCAUGAAUAUUUUAUCUUUUAAUUUUUUUUAGAAUUUCAACGUUAUAUGCUAUUGACUUUCUAGAUUUGUAUAAUUGAUAUAAUUUCUGUCAUUAACGCAGAUUUAAUGAAAUGAUGCUGUUUUUUUAUUUAUUAAAAAUAAAUGUAACAUCAAGUUGAGCUCAUGCAGUCCAAUCAUUGUAAAUAUCAUUGUAAAUUGGAUGAUGCUGUUGGUCACCGCUCAACACCUCAACCAUUUUUAUUUCUUUAAUUCUUAUAGAAUGAAGACAAUUUAGCAAUAAAUACCAAACACCAACCAACGCCCCUCACCGCACCCCGUUUUCCGCACAUCAACCUUCUUUCAUGGAAUGAAGAUAAGUUAGGAUUCAAUAACCAUAUCCUUUAACCGACGAAAAAAAAGAAAGAAAAAAAGAAUCCGAUUUAGUCCGGGGGGCCAAAGAAGCCAUCUGUAAUUCAUAACUUAUAUUCUCAGAAGUGAUUUUAAUUGUCAGAAGAUCAAAAGAUGGGCAGAGUGGUGGACUGCAUUUAAUUGAGAUGCUGUAAUUCGUAAACUUUAUAAGGGCACAAGGGUUAUGAUAAAAUUUGGUACCCAAAAAAAAAAGAAAAAAACUUCGAUAAAGCAUUCGUGGGCUGUAUUUUAGCAUUUUCCACUCGCGCUACGUCAGAAAAUGGAACAUGAGCAUAGAUGAGGCAUUAAAAACUUAUGUUACUUGAAAUAUUAGGAGAAGUGAUAUCUGCACUUUCAAAUUAGUCUCUAGUACUGUUUAGAGACUAUACUCUUAACGAGUAAAUUGAAGUGCAAAAAAGGUUAAAUGAGGAGUGCGAAUAUCAAUUUUCAAUACCAGAAUAUUUUCCUAUCAUUCUGCUAAUAAACUUGUCCCUAUCUAAACCUAGAGAUAUGUCCACCAAGUCCUACUUGGGUGACACAGAUUUUUCUUGGCCAGUAGAAAUAGACAUUGAUAAUUUGAGAGGUUAAAUGAAAUGUGCCAAUAUCAAUUUUCAAUAUAAGAGUAUUUUCCUAUCUUUCUAUUAAUAGACUUGUCCUCAUCUAAACCUAGAGAUAUGUCCACCAAGUCCUACUUGGGUCACGGUAUGAGAUUUUGUCGGUUCGGAGGAAUCGAUGUUGAUAGUUGGAUAACAUGGAAGUCCAAAAGAUUACGUGGGCUUGGCUUUGAUCACUAUUCACGGCAUGUGGUGAUUCCUGAUCCGUGGUUGUGGUUGCAAUCAAAGUCAAACUCAUCUAAAUUGUUUAUUAUAAAAAAAAUUAUUAAUUACAAAAGAUUUUUUUUUUUUUUUUAAAUAAAGGAUGCAUUCUUUGGUUGGUUUUCAAUGGAUUUUACGUAAAUCUGCAGGCUAAUUGAGGUCCCUACCAAAUAAAUGGAAAGAAAAUAGUCCGUACCAUGUUGUGUUAAUUUCCAUGGCUUGGAGGGGUAGUUUUGACACCCACUCUACACAUGAUUCAUGGCUUAAUCAAUUUGAGUUUACAGAUAUCCACUCAAAUCAAUUUGAUAUGACAGGAGACAAAUAAUGUAUCACUUGAUUUUUUUUUUUUUUUUGUGUAUAUAUCAUAUCUUGAUUUUUUUUUAUGUGUAUAUAUCAUAUCACGAUUGCUAUUGCAAAUUUUUGUUUAAAAAUUACUUGCAUAUACAAAUUCAUCCGUGACGUGCAUUUGGAUUAGUCUAUGAGGAUAUGGAUCCAAUUAGACCGACAGUUUCCUUUUCUUUUUUUUUUGUCCAAUCAAUGUUGUAGCGUCUCAAUCCCUAGGGUUCUUAGUGAUAAAUCAAAUUGACAAAUUAUUAAUGUAACACAUCACUAAAGUUGUGCAAGUUGUAACCAAACCAUUUAAUAUUCUCAGACUGGCAACAUCAACUGGUUAAACUUUUAAUUCAUCUUCUUGCUAGGAGACAAAUUUUGCUUUUCUUCUACAAUUCUAAUAGAAAUUUAAUUUAAUUUAUCCACUAUAGAUAGUCAUACAAACUGAGCUAACAAUAAAAAAAGGAAAAUACUGCAGAAUGUACCAUCUAAAACCACAGAGAUAAAGAGAUUCCGUAGCUCAGUCACAACAUUGCACUUUUACUAUGUUAUUGUAUAAUUUUAAGAAUUAGUGUUUUAUACACCAUUAGCGUAAAGUGUUUUUUUUUUUUUUUACAUUAAGAGGUACAGAUAUAUGAUACAUAGACAAAACGUGAAUUUAAAGUUUGAAUAGUGAUGACGUAGCAUUCAUCUAAACCUACUUGUGUAAAAAGGGAAAAAAAACUUUACACUAAUUGUGUAUAAAAAUUAAUCCCAAAUUUUAAUCAUAGUCCUUAUAACGUAAAUUAGAUUAGAAAAGCACUUGCAUAUUUCUCUAUCAUAUGCUUUACGCUGAACUAGUCUUUUGAGCAUAAUCAUUAUGCUAAAAAUUUCUUGACAACAUAAUAGGGAAACCUGUGGAGUUUGAUGAACCAACGGAGUUGAUGAAAAAGAAAUAUUGGUCUCUUUGUCAAGCUCUGCAGAAUUACAACGAAAUUAACAGCAGAGACAGUGUGUGAUCCUUUUACAUGGCUUUCUAGUAAAUAUAACUCCUCAAACACAGCAAUAAAAAUUUCCUUACAACUUCGUAAAAUGUAAUAAAACUACCAUUUGUGGGUCAAUUUCACGAGUGUGCCUAAAAUAAUACCAUAAAAUUAGUUAGUGCGAUAAUAGACAUGAUGUGCUAUUUAUCGUAUUAAUUGCCUUUUCUUUUUUUUUUUGGUACAGGAUAAAAGGACAAAUCGUUAAUGACUAUCUUGUAGCUCUCUACAUGUUCUGAAUGAAGGAUAAUAAUAUCUUCUUUUGUGUGAAAAGAAAAAAAUGAUAAAUCUUAAGGAUGCAUAUGCUAAGUUCUAUGAUUCCCCUAAUGCCAAAUAUUUGACAGAGACUAAGCCAACUAGUAAUUAAAAUAAGUUGAUCUUGAGGGUAAAAUGGAGGUAUCAAAAAUAUUAGUUUCCUAGAAGUUCUAUGAAAAUUUCCCUGUUUAAGGUAAAAAAAAAAAAAAGAACCAUGUUUAUUCAUCUACAUAGCCUCAUCAUAACUUCAAUAUAGAAAUCAUUUGUCAUGUGUCAACAAUUCAUGGUAGCAUGUGUUGUAUCAGUUACAGGACUUUAGGGCAAACUUUAGCUUCCUAUAAAACAUUUAUGAUUCAAUGACUUUGGUGCACUCCCAAAAAAGAUGUUCAAAGUAAUUUGAUUCAGCUUCGUCUUGAUUAGAUCGAGGAACUCAAGCCAAUAUGCGCCAACUCCCGAGUUGGACUUUCUGGUCACUUCAAUGUUGCCCUAAUCCAAAUCUUUACACUAGGAAAAUGAGUUCAACCAAAAAAAUAUUGCAGUAUUAAACUGGCCUCUGAGAGAGGAAUCGAGACAUAAAGUUUUCAAUACGUAGAAAUUCAUUAAACAGCUGAUAAUAAUUACAUCGAUCGAUUAUUGGACCACACCAUUAACAUAUGAUAUUAUCAUAACUCAUAGGAGCAAGCACACAAUCUAUUUCAGGUUUGCACAUGGUACAACCUUCGUCGAGCUUACAUUUAUUCAAUACACUAACUGGAGAUCUUGGAACUUCCAAACACACAUGUUCGUGCCAUCUAUGAUGACAAUUUAGCACCCCUUCAUUUGAGAUGGUGAGUCUCAAUAUCCUUAGUGACAUGAAGGCAAAAGUCCAUCAGAGUAUUUGGAUCUGGGAUAUUGGGAUUCUUUUUCUCAUACUCGAAGGUCCAUGUAACCAAGUUGCUUUUGCCAUGGGCAUCAACAUGAACUGUUAUGAUGAAGGUCUUGUAUAACUCCAGCACAUCUCCUUCAAUCACCUUGAAUGUGAUUGACCUCUUUGCCUCAUCUAUGGCCUGGAUAACCUCUUUGGCCACUUUCUUUUUUCC
rnacentral:lncRNA from 1 species